rnacentral:lncRNA from 1 species
GGAGUUUUUGUUAUCAAUAGAAUGCUAGUUUUUUAUGCUAUAUUCAUCAACUCAGUCAGUGCCAUUUUAGAAAUGCCCUUAUUAAGAAAAUGAAAUCCAUAUUUUGGGUCUACUGCGUUAUCACAAUUAACAGAUGGCAUAUGGUCUAGAGGAAGAAUUAUAACACUUAUCAUCUAGGAGUCCAGUUUCUUGGCAGCUAGAAAAGAGCCAUGAGAAAGCUUGUAACGAAUACAAAGGCAAGUAAAAUCCUAAGCCAUCACUCUGCAAAUUACUUCAGAAAACCACGGUAAAAUACAUACCAGAUCUGCUGAGGGCCAGCUCUAGUGCGUUUGGAAGCUGUUAUUGCUCUUAAGUGGGAGCGAGCUGAGGCUGAGUUUGUUAUCAUCGUGACUGAAGCUGGCUGCAGCAGUUGUUCUAAGUAAGGCAUCUCUGCGGUACCAAAAUAUUUCCAGUGCUGGCCUUUCAUUUUAGCUUCCAUAUCUCCUACAAGCAGGCCGGCAGCACCAACUUCCAGAAGAUUACAAUUGUUCAUGUCUUGGAUAUUAACGGGACGUUCGCUAACCAUACAGAGAAAAAUGUGCACCGAUAGUCAAGUGCUAUAAUAGAAGUAAAGACGUGUUUGAACAUUUGUAAGAACCGAAAUCAUGUACAAUGUACCUUUCAGAAGAAGCUGAUGAUAACUGGAGCUCCCCAACCCAACGCCAGUUCAGCAAGUCUGAUGAUAUGUAUUCAAUGUCUUCCAUAGCAUUAAUUUCUUGGAUAUUUGACAAAUUUGAAACAGACAGAUUUGCAGCAUCUUUUUUCUGUGGAGAUUCUGCGGCAUUUGCAGGACUUAAUUGGGAAUUGAAUGAUUUGCUCAACAAAGAGGAUAGAGAUGGCAAUAACUGCCUUGACGCAAGAGUAGCUCCUGCAAAUGCUGCAGGUUGGAAGGAUCGCCUUGGGAUAUGUAAAGCCACAAGGGAACGCACAUAAUGCAAUGACUUCACCAGAGCUGCAGAAGCAAAACUGGACACUGGUAAAGGAGAAUCCCCUGCUGGUGCUGAUAAAACAGGCAAUGAUUUCUGCUUCAAGCUAGCAUCGCACUCAGCAAUCAGAUUCACACAAAAUUUAUCGACCUGCAGUAGUGUCUCUUCACCAGGCUUAUAUCUGUAGUGUAGUAACACCUAGGGGUCAUUAUUAUGUAAAAUAUAAUCCAUAGAAAACAUUGGAAGAACUAUAUACAUAUUACAGACAAACCUCAAAAUAUAGCAACAUAAAUGCACACUUAAUCUCUAGGUUAAUUGUCCCGUUUCAGAUACAUUGAAACCAAAUAAUUAUGGUUUUAUUGAGAAGGACGAGCUUAGGGACAUUGACAAGUGAAGAGAUACUCGUUCAAGUAAGCAAAUGAAUAUUAUCAAGUUUCAUCGUUCAACUAGAAAUAUUUACCUUAAGAGAUACCGUUUCAAUAGUGCCACACACCUCGUAACCACAGCUGGACUGCAAAAAUUUGAUUGAACAUUAGCAACAACUAAAAUUUUUAGCUAAAACCAUGCUAAUUCAGAAUAUUUUCAGAAUAUAGCAAUCUGCAUCCUAGCUAAGUGAGAUUCCAUGCAACAAUAGGUCCACCUAGCAAUAAGUCCUCAAGUGCUUAAAUUGUCAACUUGGGCUAAUGAUAUAUCUAUGCAGGGACUUUUCCGAUUUUUCUCACUUACUUCUAAGAGUUCUUCCGCUCACAAUUCUAUCUACGAGAUCUGUUCAGAUUACCAUUUAUUCUACAAACGCCUUUAAGUAAUCUCCAUAGAUAAAUCAACAAGGGACUUACAAAACUAAAUUUUGUGAUCAUAUAGAAUUAUAGAAAGCUAGAACUAUCAUACUUCAUUUUCCUUUGAAAUCAAACUACUAUGACUAUAUCCGCAUACAAAUAUAUAUAUUUGCCUUUAUGUCAUCCCAUAUUCUGGUCAAAACUCCCACUUCUGCAAUUAAAGCCCCAGUUUCCGCAUCAUGAGGGAUCAAAGUAAUGAGCUCAUUUCCUUCACCUCAAAAUUUUCAAUGAGUUCAGGCUUCCAGAUUUGAAGACAUUUAUAUCACUGAGUUCUGAAGGUCAAUCCUUAUACUACAAUUCACUAUCCGACUUGCGAGUAUUACCAAAUUACUGAACAUACAUAUCGCUAAUCCAAACUAUGAUUCAAAAGAGUCAAAGUUUCAAUGGGAUGAUGAAAAACAUAUGAAGUAUAAAUUAAUCACCUGCGAUCUCUCUCUGCUACAGUAUGCUCUAACAGCAUGUUGUAGGCUAGGUCAGUCGUGGCAGAGGCUGAUAGAUAAUCCUGUAAUCACCAAGUAAUUGUGUGAGGUCAUGUAAAGAUGCAGGUCAAAUAUUUCCAAUCAACUAUCAAAGUGUUAUCAAGCUAAGAAAAUGGAUAAUGCAAAAAAGGCUUCUCUACCUAAAUCCUCAUCUAUAUUAGGCCUCAAAUGCAAUGGCUACUGGAACAAGAAGAGUAAUGUGUAGUAUAUAAAAUAUGACUGAGUACGGCGCCAACACUACUCAAAGUAAGCGCAAAUGUAGACACUGCUAUCUUCUUAACAUCCCUUUACCCCGCACAGAACUCAUAUAUCAAUGCAAAACAAGAAAAAAGCCCUAGAUACUCAAUUCCUCUCUUCACACAAUCAAAGAACAGGAUUCAAAUUACCUCUUAACUAAACUCAAAAAUGGAAAAUACCAAGAGGAGAGAUAAUCCCAUUUCACGGUAAGGAAAAAUAAAGCAAGCAUAGCGUAGGUGGGAGGUACACACCCGGAGAUUCCUGAGAGCUUCAGACGGAGCCAUGGAAGGGAUCGCGCCAUGGUGAGAAUUAGCCGGAGGAGGGGAGGAUGAGAGGCAGUCGGCCACGGCCCGGCGCAGCGGUUCAGGCGGCUUUUUGGAGGAAGAAGAUCUAAGGCGCGAGGCAGAGCCGGCAACGCCCAGCUGCAGCAAGCGGGAGCUUCCGGGGCUAAAAGUGGAAGACAUGAAUCAAAUCUCGCCGGAGUAGCGCCACUCUUGCUGCGAGGAGUGAAGACUUUUUUGUUUGUUUUCGAUUUGGUUCUGUUGCUGGCUAACGUCGUGUUCUUCACAAUCACAGAGAUGAGCUGUCAAAGCUUUCUCCGUUUUGAAUCCAUGGUGGAAUCUAAUGACGGAGACAUGGUUUUUGCAAUCUGGUCCCCCUUGUUCUAAUAAUUUCUAGAUUCAGCAGCAUAUCUUUAUUUAAUGCUAUAGUGGUCCGAAAAUCCCGAUGAGAUCUACGUUUUAACAUGUGGGGAAGUAUUAAUGAUGGCUUCGGCACUGUGUGGUGUCCAAUCCAACGAAGAAGAAAACAUUUUGGCAUUAUGAUAUUUUACAAUUGGAUUUGAGAAAGAAAAAAACAGUCAAAUUCAUACAAUAUACCUUUGCUUUGCGGUUACAAUUCUCGAACAUAAAUUGCAAAUUCACACAUGUGCUAUUGUAAUGACUAAUGAGAGUGUAACUGGUCAUGUAUACACUAUCUAAUGAACUCCAGAUAAAAUAGAAACUAUCACAUUUCGUGGUUUCACUAGCAACUUGCAAGUGUUAGUUAACACGUUAGCGGUUGAUGACAUGUUAAUGAUUACGAUGGCAUGUUAACCUAAAGAAUAAUAACACACGGUUAACGACUUAGCCUAUAGAAUAGUAAGUACACCGCAUAUCUCAUAUACAAAAAGAACUUUGGAGAUUGGUUGUGAAGCUCACCUCAAUUGCUCGAAACUCGUAAAGAUUGAAAUGCCGAAUUGCAGGUUUGAAUCGCAUCUUGAUAAGCUCGCGAAUCAAUAUAAAAGAAAGAGGGCCCAUAAACCGAAGAAUGGGCCCAAUAAGUAGUCCCAUAACCCACGUGAGUUGCUGACUGUGACGAUCCGCUCUUCGCGCUCACGGUUUGCUCCUUCCCCAAUGGCCCGAAUCAUACAUAUUUACAUUUUUCAUUUUCUUUCAUUUUCAUAAAACAAAACAAAUCUGUCUGUUCAUUAUUGUUGACUGACCUAGACCCAACCUAAAAAGAAAAAUAUACAAAUCUGUGUAUCUCUCUUUGUUGUCUUUGAUCCUUAAUAGCGAGAGACUCACCUCGAACCCUAGAUCUAACACCAGCCGUCAGAUCAAAUCGAUUGGGCAAUUUCUUCUAGACCGUUGGAAUCUUAGGAGGCAGCAAUGGUAGAGGUAGAAUCGUAUUUGUGGGUAUCCAGAAGAGUCGUAAGGAUUCUCUCCAAGUUUGGUGUCUUUUCAUCUUGAUGGCCAACAAUUCCAAUUUCCUCUAGACAGCUACUUUUUUUUUCUUUUUUUUUCUGUCAUGUGUGAUUUGGUCGCGCGUACCGGUCGACUCCAGCAGCGUUACGAGGAUGGCUCUCGUCUCGUAGCCGGGUACCGUUUUUUGUUCCUAGUUUCUUUCUCUUCCUGUUUGCGUUUGUAUCGUCUCUCUAGAGCUGGAGCUCGUGCUUUGCUAUCUAUAAUGUGAUUCUUUCUCGUUUAUUACAUAUUAUACGGUUGGUGUCUGAAGAUUAUGGUGGCGAAAUGAGUUUCAUAUGUUGGAGAUUUGUUUUCGUGAUUGCUUGAGUUUUUUUUUUAUAAAAAAUUUCUGUGAGGGACUGGUUUAUGUUCUAGAAUUGUAAAACAAGAUUCACGUCACCUUGUAUCCUGGUUUGAAUCUCUGUUGGAGAUUCUUUGUCUCAGAAUCAAGCUUUGAUUUUAACGAGAAGAGUCCUGGCUGAGCAUUAUCAAGAGGAUUCUUGUAGUGUAAUUGACAUGCACUUGUAAUAGUCAUUUUUUUGGUUAAUGAAAUGCUGCAACAAAGUAUGACUUUAGCCUUGAUAGUUGUCUUUGGUUUUUGUUUGCGGAGAUGAUUAUGGACCUUGCUUAACAAGUUCAAUGUUGGUGGCGUUUUUAUAGGUGUAUUCCGUUUAGGUACAUUAACUCUGAAGAAGAUGGUAAUUCUGAUACUGGGAAAGUGAUUCAAGUGUUGAUGAUCAGCUCAUCUAGUGGACCGGGACUUUUGUUCCCCAAGGUACAAUUUAAAUGCCGUUUCUUUUGUUGCUUCCCAUUUGUUUCGAAACGAAGUAACAUAUUUAGGUUCAUAUAGGGAGGAUGGGAAAAUGAUGAAACAGUCAGGGAGGCUGCAGUGAGGGAAGCAGUAGAAGAAGCAGGAGUCCGUGGGGAUCUUAUGGUAAAAUCAUUCCUACAAACUUUGUAGUUGUAGCUCUUUCGUUUUUGUUUAGGCGGCUGGUACUGAAUGUGCAAAACUUGGGAACAUUGCAGGAUUUUUUAGGAAAUUAUGAGUUCAAGAGCAAAACGCACCAAGAUGAGUUUAGCCCAGAAGGCUUAUGUAAAGCGGCUAUGUAUGCUUUGCGUGUGAAGGAAGAGCUAGAGAUGUGGCCUGAACAGAAGACGAGAACACGGACUUGGCUGACAAUUGAAGAAGCGGUGGAGAGCUGCAGGCACGCAUGGAUGAAGGACGCGUUGGUGGAAGGUUUCUGUAAAUGGCAUAAGGAGAAGAUGGAAAAAGGAGAGAUAACAGAUGAAGAUUUGAAGUAAGUGUGCAUAAUUCUGAGGUGUUGGUUCCAUUCCUUUCGAUUUUGUUUUUACCCUUUUUGAAGUCAUAUGCAUGAAGAAUUUGUGACUGCGAAACAUAAGAGUUUCCAAGUUUGAAAGUUGAAUUAUUUCCCUGUUUCACAGCUGUCUUCAUCAUUUUGCAAUAAUUCUGAUAAAGAAAAAGACAGCUCUUGGAAAUCUCGUUUAAUCAGAAUCAGGUUUUGAGCAAUUGUUUGCUUGUACUUGUAAACUCAAUUGAUUAGUUAUUACUAUAAAGCUGGUUUUAACAUCAUGAUUUAGUUCUCAAAAGUAUUUGACUUCUGGUAUUAUAUCUCAUACCGAAAUAGAGAUGGGUAUAACAUACUAGACAAAUAUGUAAAGUUGGAAAUUUGUGACUCUUGAAAUGAUGUGAGAAGUUCGGAUGAAUCAUACAAACUGAAUUUGCAUCAUCAUACAUUUUCUUAUGUUUGUUCACAUCAUCAGUUUUAAAGAUCUAUAACAUUGCUUUUGAUUAUACAUGCGCUUACAUAUUCCAUACACCGUAAAACACAUUAGAUCAGUGUACCCCCAUUCUUUGCCAAUAGAACAUAUUAGCUGUAGACCAUAAUGAAAGAAGGAAAAAAAAAAAAAGGAAAAAGUAAAAAUUGUAAAGAAGAAAAAUAGGAAACAUGAGAUAUCCCCCCGGUUCAGCUAAACAACCGGAACCAUGUCAUUAUUAUCAACAUGACUUCAUCAACGGACCACCGCACAAGCAUUGAUUGUCACUAAACGACGUAGCUUCAAGGUGAUCAAAUGGAGAACCCUUUGGAAUACGCCCACAAAGCUUGUUAUGGCUGAUAUCCAAAUGGCCCACGAACUUAGCUGACGACAACGAAUCCGGGAUCCGACCCGAUAGAUUGUUGUGUGACAAAUCAAGCGAAACAAAGUACGUUGUAGACCCGAAAACGUCGGGUAUGGAUCCUUCCAACGCAUUCCGGCUCAAAUUCAAAACACCGAAACCGGAAUUGCUAAGAAGCGAACCGGGGAUUGGACCGGUUAGCGAGUUGCAAUCGAGAUUCAAAAGUGAGAGUACCUUCAUGUUACCCACCCAUUCUGGUAACGGACCCUCGAUAUGGUUCCUGGAUAGAUCCAGAUCUGCUAACCGCUGCAUACCGGAGAUAGAAUCUGGAAUUGACCCGGUUAGUUCGUUACGGGCCAGUAGAGCUCUGCUCAACAUCUUCAACGAUCCGAAGUCGGCCGGGAUGACGCCGGUGAUUCCGUUCUCCGUCAGCUCAAGAUGCUUCAACUCGGUGAGUGACGUCAACGACGCCGGAAUCUCGCCGGACAUUUGAUUCUCCGCGAGGUUUAGAACAGAGAGCUUGGAGAGUUUGCCGAUUUCCGCGGGGAUCUCUCCGGUGAUUCUGUUACCGGCGAGAUCGAGGAUACGGAGCGACGCUAAGGAAGUCACGCACGGAGGAAUCUCGCCGGUGAUACCUUUCCAGUCGGCGAGGACGAGGGAAGUGAGUGCGGUUAAGUCGCAAACCACUGGGUCAAUGGAACCGGACAUAUAACCGGACCGGCCAGCCUUUUGGAAAAUGGCGUCUUCGGAUUCGCCACGGAGAGAAAUAUCAGUGACCCGACCGGAAUCAGGAUCGCAGCUAAUACCGUACCAUUCCUUGCAACAGUCAGUGUUAACAGACCAAGUGUUGAAGAUGCCGAGGUUUGGUUCGCUCAGUGACGACUUGAAAGCAUUGAGAGCCGCCUGGUCUUUAGGAGAGCAGCACCGGACGACGGAGAUAGCCGAGACUAUCAAAACGACGGAGAGUAACGAGCUAAACGGCGAUGCCACCAACAUUCUCAUUUUUUGCAAUAAAUAUACUUUGAUAAGUGAAGAGAGUGGUGUUGUGUAAUGAACCUUUGGAUUAUAUAGAAACGCAGAUGUAAGAAAGGAGAGAGACAUUGCAUGUGCAUGGUAUCAUGGGCAUGUGCAUGUUACUACUACUGAUCUAAUAUAAUUAUUUUACGAACGUAUUCAUAAUUAUAUCUUUAGUUUUGUUGUACUAAAGAGAGGAAUCAUGUGUGUGUGUGUCAGUUUUUUUUUUCUUUUACUUUUAAAAAACAUAUCCGAAUGGAUGGAGUAUCCAACCAUGAUCCGGUGAAUUAUAAGUUAAUCACGUUGAUUUGUUUCAACGGUAGAUUUUGAUACACAUUUAACAAAUCACUAAUGCAUAUAAUGUAUGUGUAUAUACGCAGGGUUAUAAGAUCAUUGCGCUACUAAUUAUGGAGCAUGAAACUUCCUAUUUCCCUAAAGGUUUCUUUGUUUUUGCCAAAUAAUUAAGAGGAUGAUCAAGAUAUCUAAUUUUACUGAAACGCCAAAACUUCACAUCAAUAAAAGCUAUAUAUGACUAAUUAUGAUUGAUAAUUUACCAAUUAUUAGAGACAGCAUUUAAAUAAACCAAAUAUGGUUGGUCCUCCAUAAAUACUUUUACAUGUGACUCAUGUGGUCCUACUACAGAGAACUACAGAAGCAUUUAAGCAUCUCCCCCUGUCCAAACUUUGAUUUUUUCUUUUUUUCUCUCUCCCAUUUUUCUUAUUCCAAACCAAACCUAUCAUUGAUAAAAUUCUUUACAUUUGAUUGAUCUAAUCUUGGUUUACAUGCUACAUGUAAUAUUUUAUUUUUUAACAACUAGUAUAUCAUAUAUAACCUUGUCAUAAUAGUUAUAAUCGGAUUUAUUAGGGAUAUUUCCAGCAUUUAUGACCUAAACAUCGGAAUUUGCGUUGUCUUGGAAUAGACAUGAUUCAACGCCCAUCACAUGCCAAGGAGUCAAGAUCCAUUUUUCUGGAGCUGUCUUUUUUUCUUUAAAUGUUUUAUAUGGCCCUUGCUCGAUACCACAGGAAUAAUCUCAAUCACAAAUUCACAACGGUAGUAAAACCUUUUGUAAUAUAUUAGUGUUAACGCUGUAACUAGCACCCACGACAAGAAUUCAAAUAACGUUUAGCGCAUGCAUAUGUGGAAAUAUAUGGACCAUGUAAAAAUUUCUUAGUUUUCGUUUCGAUUUAAAUUGCGUGAAUUAGUAGUGAUUUUGGAACUAUGGCGUGGAUGAAUUUUUAACUGUUUUUAAUUACUUUUUAGGAUUAUAUAACCUGUUUGCUGACAAGAUAAUUUGAAUUCUCAGGCCUUGGAAAGCAAUGUGUUUUUUUGUCUUUGGCAUAAAAGACAAAUUUGUAAUAGCAUCGGUCUCUCGUGCAUCACUUACACAUUGACGUAUGUUCAUGCUGCAUGCUAAUACAUAAUAAUUAUAAUAAAUAAAAAGACAACGGAAGUAGAUGAUGCAAAUUGCAGAGUCAGUAGUAGAAAUCUUUUCAACAAGUGAUAAUCUCUUUGUAUUGUCCAUAAUAAAACUCAGUUUGCCAAAAAGACCUAUACAUUGGUUUUCAACUCUUCAUUUUUUUCUUUUGGGGAUGAAUAAAAAACAGAGUAGAAAAGGAAAUUUUUGUAUAUAAAGGAAAAAAGAACGAACUUGAAUUGCGUUUUGCAAUGUGUUUAUAUAUAUAUAGUGGAUAUGUAUAUAUAUAAUAUAUAUAUAGAUUGUGGUGAGAGUUGAGUCAAGUGGACGGUCCAGCCAAGUCACCACCGCCUGAGAUGGAGAGGAGAGGUCGGCGCGAAGCACUGCGACUGACGAGAUUUGAAUCAAGAAACACAACUAUGACUGUUAUAUCAUCAUGAAAAUGUCUUCUCACUCCUCUAUCAAUCUUUUUUAAAUCUGAAUAUCUCAUUUCUCUCUUCUUUGCAGCCUCUCUUAGAGCUGUUUUUAUGAGUUUCUUUGCGAUCCCCUGCACACCAACAAGUGCUCAAUCUUUCUACUUGUACACAAAACAAACAAAGGAAAGAGAGAGAGAGAGAGAGAGCUAAGAGGCAAUCAUACAUUGCGUGGGUAUGUGUUUACAAUGUCAACAGCUUCUUGAUUAGUUAAGUGCUCCCACAGACCGUCUGAUGCAAAUAUAAGAAACUGAUCCUCUGGAUGGAUUUUAUGUACUGUAACUGUCGGCUCUGCUCUAAGAAUGGGCUUAUGGAAAACCUCAGGGACUCUAAACUUUGCCAACAGUGGUUCCCGAUUGAAUUCAGCUUUCUUUAAGUAGGCAUCACCUAUCGACCGCGAGACCUUCAAGAACCAACCAAGGGUUAUUUCUAGCGUGAAUUAAUCAUCUUUAUCUUCUUAAAAUGAGGCAUUUGUAAAUCUCUUAUUAUACUUCUCUUGUAAACACACAUAAUUCAUGAGUUGUGGCUUAACUAUAUCUUCCAUUGUGGAGCUAAUUGCAAGAAAAGAGUCUGCAAUUCAGCAACACGCCUUUGGCGUGAAAGUAUAUUUACCUGUAUAAUACCUUUGACUCGCCAAACUUUGUGCUUUAAGACGACAAUUUGAGGAUCAUCUGGAUGCAACGAGCGCAACUCCUCUCUCACAGAUUCAAGACUUGCAUUGUGCUCAGAUGAUAAUUGAACAGCCUUGACAAUUUUAAACGCUUUUUCCAGUCUUCCUAGCACAACCCGAGAAUCCCCAGCAUUCGCAAUGUACAACAAUCCACUACAUAUGAUCCCUACCAAACAACAUGCUCCAACGGAAGCAAUCUGUGGUUUAAUCUGCCACUGUCUCCGCACAAGAGAUAAAAAAUCUUCUUCCGUAGCUAAAAACGCUUUCGUAAUGACAGAAGCAGACAUCCCAUGAUUCUCUGAUGUAAACUCUGCAAUCACAAAGUGCAAGUUAGUACAUAACUGGCCUCAAGAUACAUAAAGAGUAAUUUUAACAAAAAAAAAAGGAAACAACAUACUCCUUAUGUUGUCGAAAAGGUGUUUAUUAACGAACCGGGCAGCCUCAGGACCUCCAUGACCAUCAUAGACACCAACAAAAGUAGCUUGAGGACCAGAAUCAAACAUACUAACGGGUCCAGACUCAAGCUUACUAUGAUCUUCAAGAAGAUUAUUUGCUUGAAUUACAGACAUAGAGAAAUCCCCAGCAACAUGGUUACCAGAAUCUUUAUACCAAAGAAGACCAUCACAUCGUCCAUUAGCGUCAUUUUUUGUUGAAUGUUCUCCCUUCACAGAAGGUCGCCUCCAACAUGGUACUACCAUCCGUAAUAUAGUUGUUGAAGAUACCAUAACUCACAUAAUCCCCUCAAAAAAAUCAAAAAAUCUUUUACUUCAUCUAAGAGAUCACUAACACCACCCAAAACGGAAUCAAAUCAAAUUUUGCUUAUUCCUCCUUCCCUAAACACAAUACAAUUUAAGAAAUAUGAAUCAAUCAAUCUACAUUAUAAAUAUGCAUACCUUGAUCUAUAAACUAGAGCAUUUACCUUUUGUGGAAUCGCAAAAACAAAGCCGCGAAAUGAUUACCGUCCGACCGAACGAAACUAGGAAAGUGGAUGAACAGGAUCGAGACCGGAAGAAGAAGCAGGAGUUACGAUAAGAGGGAAUCGUAACUCCGGUUGGAUUACAAAGAGGGAGAGGGGAAGAAGAGAGAUGACAAACCAAAAAAAAAAAAAAACUAGCAGCGACUCUGUCAGAAUUCCAUAUUUGGGGGUUCGAUUUUCUCUGAAUUUUCUCUCUUUUUUUUUUCUUUUUUUUUUUACUUUUUUUCCAUUUGCUUUCAAGUUUAGCUGUUUAGGCAUUGACCUCAUAAACAACCCGAUGUUUUAGGUAGUUUUUUUCCCAAAUUUAGCAAUGUUUCUCCAUUUUUCAAGAGAUUAUUCAUUUAAUUAAAGAUAUUAUAGUAAAUAGAUUUUAAUCUUUCCUAACACCCGAAUGAAACCCAAAACAAACAAAAAUCCAAUUGGAAGUUGUCCAAUGAUCGAUCAUAAUGAUUCAUCCGGAUGGUCGAAGGAGCAAAACUGAAAAUUUCCACUGCUUAAUGAUUUGUGGUUAGUUAAUUUAAAAUAUCAAAAAUGACUAGAAAGCUAUUCGAACUAGUGGCUCGUGGGUAGCAUUUAAAGCAUGGGUCAGUACUUCUGUCUACGAGGUCGAGUGAUGGAGCACACUUACCAAACCAGAAGAAAACUAUUCGAACUUUUCUUACAUUGUUAUAGAUAGAUAUUAAAAUUUAUAAUCCAGUUAUAGAAAAGGAAAAAGAUAAGCAUUUUCCCGCAAUACAAUCCACUUACGGGGUUGUUGAUUAUGGUCAGGAAAAUAAGACCUCGGCCCAAAACCAUUUGCCUUCCCAUGUCACCACCGCCUUCACACUUCAACCUCCAAGAAUACUAUUAACCCCCAAAAAAUCCAAAAAUCAAUAAAAAAAAAAGGUUAUGUUUGCAAAUUGGCAUGUUGUACGCGCAGCAGCUUUUUUACAACCUCACUCCUCCUCACAGGUCGUUUUUCGUGUGACAAUUUUAACCCGCAAAACCUCCUCUUUCUCUGAUUAAACCCCAAAAAAAAAAUUAAAAAGAAAAUCUAACAUGUCGGAAGACGAACCAAAACAUAACAUACAUGUGUUAUCGGUCCGAAUUAACACCUUUAGUCUUAUAUUAUAUUUUUGGAAGAGAAACAACUUGGCCCAUAUUCCAGCGAUAUCCCUCUCUACCUUCAUAUCUCAAUUAUCUUAUUAUAUAUAUAAAUAAAGUCAUCAUACUAAUAAAUUAGAGUAUACUCAAAGAAAGAAAAAAUCAGAAAUACCCACACACAAAAAAAUCUAUAAAAAAGAAAUGAUGAAAGAGAAAAAAAAAACAUGUAGUUGUCCGCUGUAUGGCGUCAUAAGCCAUUCUAGAAUCAUUGAAAUACAUAUUAAAAUGGCUCUGUAAUUCCACAAAAGCGAAGAGGGUAUUGACGUAAUUGUGACAGAAGACGAGAAAGUGGGGAUGGUGGAAGGAGAGAUGAUAAGAGAUGGGAAACGCGUCUCUCUAUGAGACCCAUAUUCCCCUUUCAUCUCUCUCUCUCUCUCUCUCUUUUCUCUCUUCCAUCUCUCCUUUUAAUUCGAUCUGUAAACUCGCCGGAGGAGGAGCAAGGGCAGAUUCAGAUUCAAUAAAAAGACGAUGGCGCAGAGGACGGAGAAGGAAGAGACGGAGUUCAAAGUACUCGAAACCUUGACGACUACAACGGCGGCGACGUUGUUAUGCACCAAUAACUGCGGCGUUACAGCUAAUCCUGCGACGAACAACAUGUGUCAGAAAUGUUUCAACGCUUCCCUCGUCUCGGCCGCCACAUCCGGUGUUGUUGUCGAUACCGGUUCGAUCUUGAAGAGAUCGGCUAGAUCCGUUAAUCUUCGGUCGUCGCCAGCUAAAGUGGUGAUUCGUCCGAGGGAGAUCGAUGCGGUGAAGAGAGAUCAACAGGUCGUUAACCGGUGUUCUGGUUGUCGGAAGAAGGUCGGGUUGACCGGGUUCAGGUGCCGAUGCGGCGAGCUUUUCUGCUCAGAACACCGUUACUCCGAUCGUCAUGAUUGUAGCUACGACUACAAAACAGCCGGACGCGAGGCGAUCGCUCGAGAAAACCCGGUGGUCAAGGCGGCUAAGAUGGUCAAAGUUUGAAAUUUUUUUAAAAAAUUCGAUCUCAAACCGUUGAAAAAACUUUGGUGGGUGGGUGGUGGUGGUGGUUCAAAGCUCCGAUCUAUAUAACAAACGAUGGGAAAGAGAUGCUCGACAUCGGUUUGAUUGGUGCUGUGUUGUAAAACUGAAGAUGAGAGAGAGAUAGAGAGAUUCAUCCUCCUCUGCUCAAUCCAAAAUCUGAACCUCAUUUUUUUUUCUUUUUUCUUUUCUUCUUAAUUUGCUUAAUUAUUAUAUUAGUGAAUGAUGAUUAUUAUUAUUAUGAUUGUUUGCUUUGGCUUUACGGAUUCAUGAAUUUGUGCUUCUUCUUCGGAUGUGAUCUUCCUUUGAUCAUCGAGAAAUGUGUAUUGUAGGAUUGAUUCGGUAGAUACGAAAGGGGCUGAUUUGGUAAUUUCCUACGAACGUGUCUCUCUCUCUCUCUCCUCUCUCUCUUUCUCUCUCUUUUCUCUCUGGUUUCGUUUCGUGUGGUUUAGCUGUACUUAUCAUCAACGAUAUUUUUUACUUAUUUUAGUCAGUCUUUGUGCAUCACAACUCACAAAGUACAAAAUUUCUCUCGACAAAGUUUACUUGGCGUAUAAUAUAUAGCAGCAGCAGCAACAGCACCCAAUAACGUGUUUGAGUUGUAUCGUCUUCUUCUCUGUUCCACUAUAUUAUAAUAUAUCAAACUAUAAUUUAUACUUUUUAUUUUCUGAUUUGUAUACACAAGAGGUUAGAAAUUAUAUAUGUACAAUAUAACAAGAGGUUACGCAUCUUACAACGAUCCCUUUGUAUAUUGUUUUUCAACUCGAAAAUAUCUUUCGAAUUUAAAAUAAAAAUGGCUACGUAACACUUAACACCCCCCAACAAAUCCCGUUCUAGUUUAAACAUUUAUAUUUUAUUAUUAACUUCUCAUGCAUCUUUUAUCCGAUGAUACGGGAUUUUUAAGGUAGACAACAAAUUACUGUAUAUACUAGAGUCCAACAAGAUCUCAUGCAGCUAACAUUGUGGUCAGAGUCGUUUUAUAUAACAAAUUUAUUUUACAUUUUAGAACCAUCUCUUCAAAGAAUGACGAUUGGGUAAUAUUUUUAAGUGUAAGCCUAGUAAGCAUAUAAUCUCGUGAAAGUUUAUAAAAAUGGUUUCGCAAAUUUUAAUAUUUACAGCAAGUGUAUGUUCGUAUCUNNNNNNNNNNNNNNNNNNNNNNNNNNNNNNNNNNNNNNNNNNNNNNNNNNNNNNNNNNNNNNNNNNNNNNNNNNNNNNNNNNNNNNNNNNNNNNNNNNNNNNNNNNNNNNNNNNNNNNNNNNNNNNNNNNNNNNNNNNNNNNNNNNNNNNNNNNNNNNNNNNNNNNNNNNNNNNNNNNNNNNNNNNNNNNNNNNNNNNNNNNNNNNNNNNNNNNNNNNNNNNNNNNNNNNNNNNNNNNNNNNNNNNNNNNNNNNNNNNNNNNNNNNNNNNNNNNNNNNNNNNNNNNNNNNNNNNNNNNNNNNNNNNNNNNNNNNNNNNNNNNNNNNNNNNNNNNNNNNNNNNNNNNNNNNNNNNNNNNNNNNNNNNNNNNNNNNNNNNNNNNNNNNNNNNNNNNNNNNNNNNNNNNNNNNNNNNNNNNNNNNNNNNNNNNNNNNNNNNNNNNNNNNNNNNNNNNNNNNNNNNNNNNNNNNNNNNNNNNNNNNNNNNNNNNNNNNNNNNNNNNNNNNNNNNNNNNNNNNNNNNNNNNNNNNNNNNNNNNNNNNNNNNNNNNNNNNNNNNNNNNNAAUGCUUGUAGUUAAAUUGAAACGCAAAACGUCCGUCGAAGCAAAUCCCUUUGAUUAAUACUCAGGAAUCGACUCGGUUGCUUUCUUGAUUUCUCCGACAGAAACCCAAACCCUAGCACCACCACCACCGUCGGAGCUCCUACCCGUUCCCGAACUGAAUCGCGCAGUAGGUUAGGGUUUUAGUGGCGUGUUAAUAUAUUCCGAUUUAUUGAUUUCUGGGUCUCUCAUUGCGGUGGAAAAGUUCGGGUUUUUGAUAUAAUCUCGUAAGGGAAAUUUCAGUGGAGAUGGGAAGCGCCGAUCUUGUCGAUGAUCGAACCUUCAAUGGUGAUUUCAGUGAUGGAGGAGUGGCCAAGUUGAAAGAGAUGGUUAAGAUUAAACUCAAGGAGUAUAUGGGCGAUUACACGGAUGAUACCCUAGUGGUACGAUAUAAUUCAACUCUCUGCUCUUCUCAAAAUUUGGAUUUGAUUUUGAGUGUGAAUAUGAAUUUCUGCUCUUGGGUUGGUAAUUAUACACCUAUCGCUCUCCUUGUUCUCAGCUGAUGGUGUUGUUUGUGCUCCUUGUAGCUAGAAUUGCUGAGUCUUGGAAUAUAUGUUUAUUGUGCCUUAAUGCUUUUUGAAUUCAAAUGGGCUUGCAGGAAUAUGUGAUAGUUUUGCUCAGAAAUGGGAGAAGAAAAGAGGAAGCAAAUAAUGAAUUGAUGAUAUUUCUUGGAGAUGAUAGCGACUCUUUUGUGGCCUGGUAUUAACAUAUUUCUUACCCUUAUGAAACAAAAUCCAUUGCCCUUGUAUGUAAAAAUUCAAAUUCAUAUUCACUAGGAGGAUAUAUACAGGUUAUGGGAUCAUCUGGCUGAAAGUAAAGAUGAAUAUUUUAAUUCUCAUGUUGAGGAAAGUACCAUUAAAAGCUCACUGGUAAGCAGUCAGAAUGAGGAUAAAGCACUUGGUAUUAUGGAUUCUGAAUCUGAAAAGGGACGAUCACGCCGCGGUAGACAAUGGAGGAGCCAGCCAACUAAUGCCUCUGAGAUUCCUCCUCUUCUGAGUUCUGAGGUUCACAAAAUUCAUAACUACGAGAAGAAAGAUCAUAAACACCGACAUAAUAAAAGGUCUCCAUCUCCGCAGUCUCAAUCCCACAGGAAAAGGUCUAGAACUGAUGACUCGCGGAAUGAACAGGUCUGUAUUUUGUAGUUGUCUUGUCUGUUGAAUAGCAAUCACUAUCAUGCAAUACUUGGAUUGGAAUUAUGCUAAAAUAGUUUUACUGGAUGAGAUGUCAUAUCUUACUGUGAAGACGUUCUCAAAGUAAAAUUUGGGGCAGGGCACCUUUGCGCUCUGCAUUUUAUGGGACUAACAUGUCCGACAUUCUUAAUGACCGUAACUUAGUGUUGUGGGGCAACCUUGUCCCAGUCCGUUAAUGCAUGUCUUGCAGUAAAGCGAUGUUGCGGAUACUGGUUAUAGUUUUCUCAUUUUGUUUUCUUUGACUUGUUUGACAGAGGGAAGCUAAACCUGAUGUCUCUCGCCGGCUGCUUCAGUUUGCUGUGCGAGAUGCACUAGCUAUAUCCAAGCCAGCAAAUAUUUCGACUGAAUCCUCAUUAAAACGUCUUCGCUCAGUGGUGUCCACAUCUACUCAAGAAUCAUCUGACCCCGACCCAGCUCGGAAAAUUCGAUCUGUUGCUAGAGUUGUAAAUCCCUUGGCCUCUGUAAUGAAAGCUGUUGCCGAAGCAGCUGAAGAUGCCAAAAGACCAAAAACUGGGAGAAGUGUCUUUGACAGAAUUAGUAAUUCUACUGGAUUGUCUGAGACCCAGGACCAACACAUGGUACUUGGUGAAGUUCCCUUUAAGAAUGAAGAAUAUAGGAAUAUUAGCGAUGAUCAGGAAUCGGUACAUCAUCAAUACGCACAUCGUCUUGACAACAAUGGAGUGUAUGUUGAGAACAUGUCAACUUUUGACACUGGCUUGCAGCCAAAUUUUUUGUCUGAUCGAGGCAGACAUGGUUCAAGUGCUAAUUUGCCUCACCCAAGUACUUUUCUUGGGAACAGAAUUAACAAUCCAAAUAGUCUGCAGCAUCGUUUAGUUGAUGACCCAAAAAGAGUUAAAGGGACAGCAAGUUUCUCUGGCAAUAUAGAUACUGGGAAAACAGUAAGGUUAGAGGAGCAAAUGAAAGUACCAGAUGUGGGUCUGCAAAGAUAUAUGGACGAANNNNNNNNNNNNNNNNNNNNNNNNNNNNNNNNNNNNNNNNNNNNNNNNNNNNNNNNNNNNNNNNNNNNNNNNNNNNNNNNNNNNNNNNNNNNNNNNNNNNNNNNNNNNNNNNNNNNNNNNNNNNNNNNNNNNNNNNNNNNNNNNNNNNNNNNNNNNNNNNNNNNNNNNNNNNNNNNNNNNNNNNNNNNNNNNNNNNNNNNNNNNNNNNNNNNNNNNNNNNNNNNNNNNNNNNNNNNNNNNNNNNNNNNNNNNNNNNNNNNNNNNNNNNNNNNNNNNNNNNNNNNNNNNNNNNNNNNNNNNNNNNNNNNNNNNNNNNNNNNNNNNNNNNNNNNNNNNNNNNNNNNNNNNNNNNNNNNNNNNNNNNNNNNNNNNNNNNNNNNNNNNNNNNNNNNNNNNNNNNNNNNNNNNNNNNNNNNNNNNNNNNNNNNNNNNNNNNNNNNNNNNNNNNNNNNNNNNNNNNNNNNNNNNNNNNNNNNNNNNNNNNNNNNNNNNNNNNNNNNNNNNNNNNNNNNCAAUAAAUCUGUUCCUGGUGAGUUUUUAAAUUAUAUCAGUCUUAAGCUUUUUGAAGAUUCAUGGGUUUGGAAUUUCUUUCUUACCUUGGCAAACUCACUUCUUUGGUUCUUGUUGAUGUAAUUCUAAUGCAUAAGUUUAUAUUCUGGCAUUUGCAGGGACAUUAUCCACUGCCCGACCUCUGGAAGAUGCUAGUUCUCGAACAAUUUUUGUCGCCAAUGUAAUAAUUGUUUAUUGUUUAUUUACCCUUACACUGGAAUUGAGGCAAAACUUGUCAAUUGGUUAAAUAUGAUUGGUCUUAAAACAGGUUCAUUUUGGUGCUACCAAGGAUAGCCUUUCAAGGCAUUUUAACAAGUUUGGUGAAGUGCUUAAAGCGAUCAUAGUUACUGAUCCAGCAACAGGACAACCAAAUGGGUAAGUUUCAUGACAAUUAUUGUCAUGGUAUGUCACAGUUCAGUCAUGGGGGACCUUAGUGACCAAAGUUGAUUUUCCUUUGCAGAUCAGCAUAUAUCGAGUUCACGCGCAAAGAAGCUGCAGAGAGUGCGUUGUCUCUGGACGGUACCUCUUUUAUGUCUCGGAUUCUCAAGGUACAAAUUGGAAACCCGUGUUCAAGUUUUACCAUUGCAACUAUCGUUAUGAUCUUUAGGAUUGGUUAGAAUCUUAGCUGGAUAAGUACUCAGUUGUGUGUAUGUUUGAUGGAUGCAGAUUGUGAAAGGAAGCAAUGGGCAACAUCAGGAGGCUGCAUCAAGCAUGACCUGGUCCCGAGGGGGAAGGUUCACAAGAGCACCUGCAUACUUUAGAGGUGGUGCAUUUAGAGGACGUUCUGUUUCGAGGGCUGGAUCAAGGAGUAUGCAAUGGAAGCGUGAUUCUGCUGACACAGGAAACAACAACACUGCAGCUGUAGCCCCCAACAAUGCUCGUAGUCUCACAUACGUCCGAACAGAGUCGAGAUCAGACGGAAAUGCCAACGAUUGAAAGAGAAAAUAGAGAGGCAAGAGCUUAGGCGAAAAGGAAGAUUGAGUUUUAUCAUCUUGCCUUUCGGAUAUUAAUCUCAAUUGGUUUUUCUUUUUUUUUUUGGGUCUCUGAAACAGCUACUACAAAACGUUACUUGUAUCGACUUCUAUGCUUGUUUUAUCUUUUGGAUUAUAAAAUGAAGAAAACAAAAAUAAAAAUUGUAUUUUCAUAGCUCUCUUUAUGGUGAUAACAAGAGGAACAGGUUCCCAACACACAAGCCAACAACGCACAAGAUUGAAACAAGACGAGCUCUAACGAACAACAAAUUGAGAUUCUUAGCGACCUGAAGUGACAAAGUAAGAAUCUGCAACCUCCCUAGCUCUUCCAUCUUCUUGAAGAAGUACAUUGGCUUCAGUGAUCGUCUCACCAUCAACGCCAUAGCAAACGGGAAUCCAAACGCUAUACAGCUCUGAAUUGUCAUUUCCUUCAUCGGAUCUGAUCUAGUUGCAUACAAAAUCGUAGCUCCCACGAUCAGCUGAGUUAAACCCAGAGCACCCAUAGCUCCACUGAGACUGUACAUGUUCUUCAUCAUCCCUUCCAACACUUGCCUCGUCUCAUUUCCCAACGCCGACAAAUCGCGUUCCACCGUUGGCCCUUCGAUCUCUUGGUGCUUCAUCGUUGGCUGCUCGUCAUCUGGCUUCGACUCCUCUGGCUUCUUCGGCUCGACAUCCCCGCUUGGCGUCGAGAAAUACCUCGGUGACCAUGUUUCAGAUCGAAGCUUGUCGAUGUUGAAAGCAGAAAAGGAUCUUAAGAGACCUAGCUCCUGAGCUACCGAUCCGUGGAUCAGAUGGUUUCUGAUGGGAGACGAGGAUUGGAGAUGACGGCGAGUGACGUAGAGAGAUGGAGAAGACAAGGGCUUGAGGAAUUUAGAAACCAAUCGACGAGAGAUCAUCAUCGCCGUCGCCGUCGUAUUCUACACAGAGAAGAAGCUCAACGUAAUUAGGUUUUGGCUUAUUGCCAAUUUUGGUGAUUUCAUGGGCUCAGUCUUUUUCCAUUUGACCCAAUCCUUAAGUUACAGCUCUUCUAUCCCCAUACUAGACAAGUCAACGGUAUAGAUCAAUUUAAACCGGAUUCUUUGGUUUAAUCUGUCCAACGAUUAACAAAAUUUUGGGCUAAAUGUUGUAACAAGAGUAGCUCAAGAUCCCAUUAUUCAUCAACAAGUGGCUUACUCUGAAGUGAGUAUCGAUAUCAUUUAAUUGAGCAAGUAUAAUCGGUUCCGACAAGUGCUCUUAACCCAAGACAACAACACAAAGUUUGGAGAAACACCCUCUCUUCCCCAUGCCUUAAUAAAGAAACACAAUUCAAAUUUUCUCUAUAAAGCUCACAGCCAAAAAGGCACAAACAAUUUAAAAAAGAAAAGCUGAUCAAUCAAAACCACAAUAAUGUCUUCUUCACUCACUCUCUUCUUCUUUGUUUCCACAUUCCUCUACACUUCAUCAAAUUCAUUCAACAUCACUAACAUCUUAAACGAGCACGAUGAUUUCUCCACUUUCAACAACCUUCUCUCCGAAACUCAACUUGCUUCUACCAUCAACAAGCGUCAAACCAUAACCGUCCUUGUGGUUUCCAACGGCGCACUCUCUUCCCUCUCCGGCCAACCAACCGACGUCGUGAAGAAGAUCCUCAGCCUUCACAUCGUUUUAGAUUACUACGACCAGAAGAAACUCAAGAAUCUGAGCAAGAAGUCUGUACUCCUCACCACUCUUUUCCAAUCAAGCGGCCAAGCCAGAGGCCAACAAGGGUUCUUGAACGCUACCGUUAUGACAAACGGAGACGUGGUGUUUGGAUCUGCGGUUCCUGGAUCUGAUCGUAACUCUCAGCUUCUAGACUCUGUUGCCUCACUACCAUUUAACAUCUCGGUGCUUCAUAUUAGUAGUGCUAUAAUGAUUGAUGUUAAAGCUGAUAACGCACCUACUGCUUCUCCUUUGUCACCGGUAUCAUCUCCACCACGCCCUGCACAGUCACCUAAUGGUGAUGAUUAUGACGAGCCACCAUCCUCUGCUCCGGGAGCCGCUGCUGAUGGACCUUCUUCCGAAAACGCGGACUCUGCCAAUAGAGUUUCAAGGAUCGAUUCCCUGCCUGCACUGGCCUUUACGCUGUUGAUGUCAUCCAUUUGGCUGUUCAUGGCUUGAAGACCACGAGAAACACAGUGCAAGAACUAAAUAGAUUAGUUCAUGUCUUGGAAGGAAAGCCAAAAGAAAAAGAUACAAAACAGACUCAGCUCGGGUGACAGUAAAAACACAAGAACACAAAAAAAGACCAAGCUUGCCAAAAAAUUUGGGGAGAAUUAAUUGCAUGAUACGAUAAUAAAGAUGGAAAAAUUUGUAAAACUCAAAAAUUCUUGGACUAAUUGUUUACAAAACACAAACUGCAAAUUUUUGUUAAUGGUGCCUCGUUGUCUGGUUGCAUCGAAUAAAAUAGACGACGGCACAAAGAAGGGGAAAAAUAUCGUGUAGACCAGAAGAGAAACUAGAUAAUAGAUUUUUUAUUACUUUUAGCUAUGAAAGGCAAAAAGCAACCCAAGAACAGGAAGCACAUUCAUAUCCAUGUCCAUACCCUAAUAACGAAACCCAACACAAGUCUUUUAAGACAAGGAAACAAAACUCAGGGACUAUACAUGUAGACUGGCUUAUAGUAAAGCUUUGAUUGAAAGCAGAAAAAAAAAAACUUUUAAAAUGCAGUAAAGUUGUUCCUUUCUUGAGUCAGUGAUGAAGCCCAUUUCCAUUGCUGUACAUAUUGCCGUUCUGGUGAACUUUCCCCACUGCAGUUCCAUUGGCUACUCCAUUUUUCGAAAUUUUGUUCACCUUGCCACCUGUUUGCAAAACUGAUUCUAGACACCCCGACGCUGCUGCGAUCAGACCUGUGGUAUCAAAGUGUUUCUUAGUAAGCCACAAAACACCAUCAACACAGAAUCUUACAAUUGUGCUCUAUCCAACUAUAAUCCAGAAUUUACCUAGAAACAAUGCAGAAGGUUUUCCAGGUCUGGAUUUGAACUCAGGAUGGAACUGAGCACCCACAAAGUAUGGAUGGGUUGGUAGUUCUACAACCUGCACACCAAGCCAGCAAAACAAUGAAGCACACCAAGCCACAAUCACGAAAGCAUUCAUAUAUUGUUCACACUCAAACUGAGUCACACAUCCAACAGGUGUUCCACGACCAUAUUACCUCCAUACGACGCCCAGUCUCAUCUUUCCCAACAAAAGAGAGGCCAGCCUUCUCAAUUUCUGGUAUCAUAUCUGGAUUUACCUGCGAAAAUUACAUAUACUUCACUUUCAACAACUCACGAGAAAUCUCAAGGAAAAGAACAUGUAAAACAGAAGCUGAAAUAUUACCUCAUAUCUGUGCCGGUGUCGCUCAUCAACAAACUUUGCAUUACCGUACCUGAAUGAAGUGAGAAGUUAUAUAGGUUUUUGAACUGAAUUCUAUGAGUGAUCAUGUGCUACUGUAUCUUUAAUGAGUUGCUUACAGCUUGGCAGACUUGCAAUCAGCAACCUGGAAGUAAGUCCUCCUUGACCCUAAGCGCAUUGUCCCCCCCAUAUGAGUUGUGGAUCCCUAAAAAGAGAUUGAAGAAGUAUAAGCAGCUACUCAGUACAUGAAAAGCAUGUAAUCAAUCAAAUGACAGGGCCAGAUGGUCUAGUACUUCUGGCAUAAAUAUGACGCAAGGGCUUGAAGUUUCUGGUUCAAACUCUGUGCUGUUUGCAUCAUGAAAACCAAGAAUGGAGCGGGCAAAUUCAACAACAGCCAACUGCAUUCCCAGACAUAUGCCAAGGAAAGGAACUUCAUUUUCACGGGCGUACUUUGUAGCAAGUAUUUUCCCUUGCACUCCUCUAUCACCAAACCCUCCUGGUACUAGGAUACCAUCAGCAACCUGCAACAAGCAAAAUGUUGAGUCAAAGAUAUUUACCGAGUUGGUGUGCCAGGCUCCAUUAAAAUUGACCUACCUUCAAAAGAUCCCAUGCAGCUUUAUGGACAUCUGGCGCCUGCAGCAGUAAUUCAGACAAAAGCUCAUGAGACUUAAUACAUUUGCCAUAUCCUGAGAGCAACAAAAACCAGACUCACCUCCUGUGCAGUUAUCUCUUCAAGGUCACUGGCUGCAACCCACUCUAUGGCAAGCUUCUUGUGACAUGCAACGGAAGCAUGCAAAAGGGCCUGCAGUGAAAAGGGUGCCAGACAAGUCCCAUUUUUUAAGAAUCCUCAAUGUUAGUCACAGUUGUUAAAUAAAUGAUGUACAAACUAAAGAUUGGGAGUUUAAAUGAAUAACAGAUUUUUGGUCUGUUUAAGACCACGCAGAUCCAAUUACCUUCAAUACGGAAAGGUAAGAAUCAGUAAGGCCAGUGUACUUUCCAACCAUAGCUAUCCUCACCUGAAAGAGAAGACCAUUGAGAAUGAACAAUGGUCUUGAUUAUAUAGACACUCUGGCAUUCAAAAAUAUUAAGAAAAAGUUGACUAACAGGAUCUUGCAGUGUGUCAUAAAUUUUAGUUCUUGCAGUCCAUUCUGCCAAGUCGGGCUUUACAGCAUUACUGCAGAAGAAGCAAAUGUCAAACAACUAGAAAAAGUCAUCACAGCCAAGCUGAAUUCUGGAGCCUAAAGCAAACAUCAAUUGGCCGAAGGGGGCAAAGGAUGGAUCUCAGGUUUAGCAAAGUCACACUUUAUUAUUUACAAUUGAGGAGGUGCUGCUGGGGCCGGGCAAUAAAAUUUACACUUAGAGACGAAGAAAGAAAAGAAAAGAUGGUUCAGAGACAAACCUAAGAAGGUUCAACUCUUUUAGGAUAGCUUCGUGAGCCUUUUGAUCCUAUUCAAGAGAAGUUAACACCAAAAGAAUGAUAAGAAACAAAAUUCAGCAAAGGAACAAACUCAAUUAAUUUCGUAAGUAUAAUACAAGCGAAAUUUCGUAAGUACAAUACAAGCGAAAUGUACUUACCCUUAAAAGCAGCGGAACGUGCCAAAUAUUUGGAACAUCAUAGAGUGUUACAAUAUUUACUUCCUAGGAAACCAUAGAAAAGCAGACAUAAUGUUUAUUAGGACAGGGGUCUUUUGAUGAGAGAUCUGACCCCUCUGAUCUAAGAAGAGCAAAUAAAAACCAGAAUUUCAACAAUAUAUACCGGCACAUGGCAAAAUUGAGAUAGUUUUGUCUUGACAUUUUCUUCAAGUGCCUGUUACAAAACAAGAAUUGAUAGGUUAAAAGCCAAAUUCCAUAGCUAACAUCAACCUUAAAGCACAUGAAAAUAUUGGAGCGCCCAUUACCUUUGUGCUGCGACAUGCUAGGAUAUUUGGUGUCAAACCAAGGCUCCUGAGACCUCGCACACUAUGCUGGGUUGGCUUUGUCUUCUGCAAUACAGAUGUUCCUAUUUCGUUGUUACAUACUAACAAAAUAGAAGCUCCAUGGAAGAUAACAAUUAUAAAGGCAAUUACCUGUUCACCAACAACACUGAGAACAGGCACAAGGCUGACAUGAACCAAGCAGAAAUUACCAGGUCCUAACAAAAAAGACAGAUGCGGUGAUUGAGCUGAUUAGCAAUAGCCUAAGAAAACUACUGAAAGUUCAAAAAUUAAUAUAAAGUAGCACCACUCACCAACUUUAUACGAGAAUUGACCAAGGGCCUCAAUAAAGGGCAUCGAUUCAAUAUCACCUGUACAUAACAUAAAAAUUAACAAAAGCCACUCUUCUGAGCAGUUGUCAGGAAAGGUAAUAUAAUCCAACAAAUGGUACCUAUAGUCCCGCCUAGUUCGAUUACACAUACAUCAGGAGGACCUUCCUUCCCAUCAACAGGAACAUUAGCUACACGCUCAAUCCACUCUUGGAUUGCAUCAGUAAUAUGAGGAACCACCUAAAGGAAAAUUAAAAGCUUUGUUCAAACACUAAAUCAAAUUAGAACGAGAGGAAUUCAAGUACGAUCACAGGUAAAUAAUGUAUGAACCUGUACAGUUCUUCCUAGGUAGUCCCCUUUCCUUUCCUUGUCAAUGACUGACUGCAAAAACGAGAGCACAGAAAUUCGUAACCAAGUUCUAACAAGAGAUAACUACUGAGGUAGAUAUACCUGGUAUAUCUUUCCAGUUGUGAUAUUGUUGUCACGGGUCAGUGUACUGUCUAAAAACCGUUCAUAGUUUCCAAGGUCAAGGUCCACCUGGAAAAAGUCUCAAUGCAAACAGAUUGAGGGGAAUCAUUACUUAAGAUAAUAUGAAAAUCCAGGACAUAAUAAUCACAACAUGACAUACCUCACCACCAUCAUCCAAUACAAAUACUUCUCCAUGCUCAAACGGAGACAUUGUUCCAGCGUCAGUGUUAAGAUAAGGAUCUGCAAACAAGGAAUGCAACUGUUGGGAAGAAGGAUCACAUAGCUACAAAAUUCACUGAAAUUAGCCGCACAAUACAAGUCGUUUCGUUACACAACAAAAGGUGCCCCUUUUCUCCGGAUUAUUGGUUCGGAUAAGAAUAAGACAGCGUGUUACAUGCAAUCCAAAGGCAAGAACCUCACCAAUUUUGAUAGAAGUGACACGAAGACCACAUGCUUGAAGGAGAAGUCCAAUGCUACUUGCAGUGACACCUUUGCCAAGACCACUCACGACUCCUCCUGUCACCAAAACGUACUUCAUAGUCGUUAAGCUCUGCUUCGUCUUCUUCACCUGAAUCAUCGAGAACACAGAACACGAUAAGCAAAGACGAGACUUUGAGAGGAGUUAUCUCUGGCCAACGAAGAGGAGAUUCUUGGGUAUGAGUCAAAAACAAAGAAAGCGAGAAGAAGAAAUUUCACGAAUUCUACCUUUUGCUCCAACAAAAAUGGCUUUCAGGAUUUUCAAGGCGGCGGCUAAGCUAUAACCUGCGAGACCUCCUCACUCUUAUAUUUAAACCCAAAAUGAAAACCAAUACAAAUUAGUUAUAUUUAUUUUUAUUUAUUAUUUUUAAUCUCUCUACAUCAAAGAGUCAUUAACAACAAAACUUCGUUUUAUUUACAGAACUAACAUUUGGGUUUUGACUGAGCGACAAAACUAAGAAAGGGACUGAAACGGUACGUUUUCAAUACCAUGGUCAAUUUAUAUUUUUCUGCUUACUCUUUUUAUUAGUCUUUUGUACCUUCAGAAACCUUGAGAUUAAAAUUAAAAUCUAGGGUUUGUUGUGUGGGAAGGUUCAAGGUUGCAUAAAAUUUUUGUAAGAUAAGCCCAAAAGAGAGUGUUUUGGAUAGAAGUCUAUAGGAAAGUGUGCACACAUAUUUACCCCCACAAUCUAAAUUGAUCUUAUAAAAAAAGAAAAGUUGAAAAGAAGUGAAAGGUAUCAAACUUUUUUUUUGGAGUCAAUCUCCUCAUUUUGCCACUUUCAUUAUUUGUCGUUAUAUUAUUAAUAGAGGUGUUCACAUGUUUCAUCAAAGGAACAAAAACUUGAGCAGUCAAACAAGUCCCCCCCAUUAUUCCUCCUUCGCAUUUGUUUCAUGUCUUGUUUCACUUUCAUGUCCUCUUCUUCAACUUACAACAGCAAAAUAUUGGACCCACCCUUUUGAUUUUAGAAGUUAGCACCGACAUGUUUCUUGCUGAAGAAGCAUGUUCUCCAUGCACUGGCUCUCUGUCACAUCUUGUUGACACGUAUUGGUUCAUCCUAUUGGGGAGAUUGGUCCGAGUUUCGAAAAAAACAAAUUACCAAGGAAACGAUGUUUACGAAGAGAACCUACGUAAUCAAACGGAGGAUACAACAGGUAAAGUAUUGAAUCAUUGAGGAGAAAAGAAGAAAUGUUGCUGGUGAAGACAGUAGGAACAACUUUGCCUUUAUGAGCUCAACUGAGCAAAUAGUAAGAUGGGAAUUUUACUCUAGCUUUCCUUUCCGUUUGAGGAUGAUAAAGAGAACCCAGGAGGGUGAAGCAAUUUGAUUUUUGAAACGAAACAGAUUAAGAACAUACAAAGUAAACUAAGAUUACAACACAAUAUCAUCUUAUCAUACACAAAUCUGGGAAACUCAUUGAGUAGUGUCCGCUGCUCCAGCAGCAUCAGCUUCUGAAGUGGUCUUAGCCAUCACCUCACCUGGAGGAGGAUGGUCAAACUUGCAUGUUGCUCCGAAUUUGCAUGUCCCUGUCUUCAUGUAAUAAGGGCAAUUGACCGCACCCUGCAACAGUUUUAUUUCAUAUGAGAUUACCACACAAACUCGUAACAUUGUUGAUUUAAUUCUAAUAAGACCACUGUGUAGAUACCUCUCUUCUGGGAUACCCUGCAAGACUCAGCUUUACAUUUGGUUGUUGAGGAGCUUGUUUGGUCGUUGCACUUAAUCUAUCUGCUGGGUGAUGGAACCUGCAUCUCUCUCCAAACUUGCACUCCCCUGUCUUCAUGUAGUACUAUAAUAUUGGAGAACAAUGCUUUUUGGUAAGUCCAACCAACAAGUAAGAGCACAGCUCAACAAUCUCAUAAAGAAACAAGAAUACCCACAUCACAUUCUGAUUGUCCAGGUCUUUGCGGAUAAGUUGCUGAAAGCCCUCCAAGCUGCAACAAGCUCAACUUUAUUUUAACCACUAGCAACUUAGGAAGAGGUUUUGAAUAUUUCCUACAACAUGAAUGAAAGGCAUUUACCGUGGGUUGAGACAAAGUCUGAUAGAGGGAGGUAGCUGGGGUAACCAUCCCAAGGUUUAAAUUCGCAGCAUUCGACGAAAGUAGAGAAUAGUUUAUCCCAGUAGCUUGGGGGAUGAAUGCUGUGCAAAAAAUCAAAACAUCACCCAUCAUGAGAAUUAAGAAAUGAAAGUGAUACGUCAAAGACUUUAAGAACGACAAAUAUUGAUAUGGUCACAAACCAGUCCUCUCAGGGUGAUUGUAGCGGCAAGUGGCACCAUACUUGCAGCUGAUUGUGGAAAUGAGAAACCAAUUAGAACAUUAAUGUCAUGGUUUUAUUUGCAAGGUUCUAACUUAUAACCAACGGACUAGUAUUGUACAACAGGUAAUUCACCUUCCAGUUUUGAGAUAGAAUGGGCAAUCCACUUCACCCUGCAAAAGCUACAGUCCAGUUAGUGAAACUUCAUUUUAGAUCUCAGAAAAGGUCAGUACAUAAUGCUAGCAAACCAUCUUCAUAAGUUCUGAGUAUAGUGCCUAUAAGACACUAGAAAGUUUCACCAAUUGUGCCUAUAAGAUAAUAGGUCAGUCUCAGGCAACGUGACGAUGGAUGGAUUCAUUACCGGUCUUACAGGUAGUCCUUUUGAGUUAUGAUACAAUGCUGGGGUAAAUGUGACAUGCGGAUUGUUUGUGGCAUCAGGAUCACUAGUUAACCCCUCACUGCUACCAUUAUCUUGACUAGAUGAUGGUAUCUGGAUAUCCUUUGGAUGGUGGAACUUGCAUGUUAAACCAAAUUUACAUUUUCCAGUCUUCAUGUAGAACUGAUGCAGGAAAGAAACAUUGCUAAAUUAAUAAUAGAAAAUAGUUUAAUAUGUCAGAAAAUUUACAAAAAAAAAAAAAAAAAAAAAAAAACGGAUAGGUAUUAAUGAGUUUAUUAUGCGUAUAUCUUACUGUGCACAUAGGUUCAGAAGGCCUCUCAGGCAAUGCAUCUUGAUUCUCAACAGUAGCCUGCAAUAUAUAAGAGCAUAAUGCUUUUAUGUGCAUGCACAACCCAGGAAAAAACUAAAGUAGCACAUAUUACAAGCGCAAGAUUUCAUGCGAGUGUCUGUCUGCAGACAAAUACACAAAUUGAGGGAUAGUAUCAUCCAAAAAAUGGACAAUUCACUUACUGCAGCCUCAGCUCUCGGAUGAUUAAACUUGCACCUUGAACCAUAUUUGCAGCGUUGUGUUUUUAUAUAGUACUGGACAGCAGUGAAAUAAAAAGAUAAUCAGAUCCUCAGGUAAAACAUAAACAAUCUAGCUCAAAAAAAAAAAACUACGAACAGCUUACAGGACAAUCUGGUUCUCCUGGUCUCUCAGGGUACUCUUCAUUUGGAACAACUGGUGCCUGAAUGAAAAGAUUUUCAUAAGCAAAAACAAUCAUAUCAUUUUUAUCAUGGAAUGCCUAGACAAUGAGUAUGAUGCCUCUUCCAAUUCAAGGAAUGAUUUGACAAAGGGAAAAGCAAGGAUAGCACACACAGUCGCAGAAGCGGAAAGCUCAACUGUUGAAGCACAAUCAAGAUACCAUAUACCAUGUCUAUGUCUAUACUUUCAUAACAAUGUAGUAAAGCUAUGACCUCCGAGACCAAGCAAAAACUAUAUAUAUAGUUAGAAAGUAAUUAGGCACAAACUCCGGUAGUAUAAAACAUAUAAUUACAUAACAGAAUAUAGAGAAACGUUAUCAUAAUAAUGUAAAUAUCAUAAGGGCAUAAGAAAUACUUAGAUAGUAGUAAACGAUCACCUCUUUCCAAUCUGGGAUUCCGCCCUCAGGAACCCAAACAGGAUGAUCAAACUUGCAGCUAUCUCCAAAUUUACAUGUUCUUGUUUGCAUAUAGUGGGUACAAUCCUUCUCCCCUGCCCUCUGUGGAUAUAUAGGCAAGUGACUCGUACUCUCCAACUUAGGGCGCUUGGUAAAAUAGUCUGUAGUAUACCAAGCUUCGGUUUGACCAAUUGUAUUAUGGGCACCCAACAGAGUCGGAUAGUAGAGCGCUAAAUUACAUAAUAAACAAUAAUAUACAACGAAAUGAGAAGAUAUAUACUGAGUAUACGUAUAAUCUGAAAAUAAAUUUGGGGUAAUAAAUGUAGGAGAUACUACAGCAGAAACCAAAAUAGAGCACCAAUCUUAUCUUUAUUUAAACUUACAGUAAGAUAUUAUGGGUUACACACAAUCAUUUUUGAAAGUCUAUUGGAAACCAUAGAGUUACAACAAAACAGAUCAUCAAUCAAUUCUGCAAAAUUACUUAGGUGUUCAACUUAAAACAUCGAGGUCGAGUUUAGAAACAAUUGUCUUCAGGCAUUUCUAAACUCUAAAUCAACGAACACUUAAUCAAGAACACCACAAUAAGCUAUAUAGUUUGUAGAUGUAAUUCGAUCUGAAUACUUGCAUCUCCUUAGAGAGUUGAUUAUGAUUCUAACUUAGUGUCCAAACACAAAACAAAGCAGUAGGCCAAACCAAUGCAACCUCUAUUAUAGCCAAGGAGAAAGCACAAAUGAACACAAACCAACAAUACUUGUGCUUGAGAAAAUGUAAAGUAAGAUCUCUCCUAGAAAGAAAUAAACCAAGCUAGAGAGUAGAGACCAGGAUUAAAGCUAUGUUUUUUACGCAGCAAUUGAAGAGACCUGAAGUUUAAGGUUUCCUCUAUGUCCAGGGGGAUCAGAAUGAGCAGAUAAAAAGGAAAGCUAAAGUCUUUAAAAUUUCCAAAUUAUAAAGCAUAGUUUUUUCAAGCAAUAAAUACGAAAAUGAUGCAGAUCUCAGAACAGUAAGGAAAAAACAAGAGCAUACCUUCAGAGGUGCGUUUGACACCAGGAGGAAGAGGCUCGACGGCGGAAGCAGCAGCGGGAACCUCAACACCAGGCGGCCAAGCAGCUUCCUGAUGCUGAAGCAGCUGCGGAUAUCCCAAAUGCGAUGCCGUCGUGUUAGGGAGAUGGUGAUACAUAGCGGAAGACGAUGCAAGAGUCCCUGAAUUGUAGUUGCUCAAAGCUUCGGAUCCGUCACGAGCUAAGAAACGAAACGUGGUAUCUGGAUAAUAAUGGUCAACAGAGGAGGAACCGUAGAGAGAGGAAAGAGCAGUUUUAGGCGGCUGCGGCUGCGGCGGAGGAGCUGGAGAGACGGCAGAGGCAGCAGCGUAGGAAGGUUGAUGAUGAAGGGCGUAGCUAUACAAUUGACGAUGUGCCAUUCGAUUGCCAAAAAGAAACCCUAAAGGAAAGCUUUCUACCUUUUUUGGUGUCAAAUUGUGUUGUGGGGUUUACUUUUUUAAUUGUUCCAAGUCUAAGCAAACGCAGAACAACCAACGAAAACAGAACAUUUCUCAGAUCCAUUUAAACUGAUUUUGACAUUUAACCACUGAUUCUGUUUAAUUGCAAUUUGGAAAUCCAUUAUUAAAUUCUCUUUCUUUCUUUUAUCAACGAACGACACUCAAAAAUAAUUAAGUUUGUGAGCUUUUUUUUACAUAAGGGAAUAAACACUGAAGGUCACUAAGAAACCAAACAAAGCCCCUGCUAUGACUUCAACUUCAGUGUGUCCUAUUGAUUCUUUCAAUGGUGCAGAAACGUCCUCACUGAUCUCAUCCGAUUGUAAAACCUUGUUAGAUUCGUUUUCUUUCAGACUCAUCACCUCACUUCUUUGACCAUUAGCUGUUAGUUUGUUCAACACUUUCGCAUGUUUUCCAACUUCUCUCCUCACCCCCUACAAUGAGACAACCAAAUCAUAUACAUGAGACAACACUGAAAUUCAUAUCCUACAAGCAAUAACUAAGGCCUGGAUCAGACACUGAGGAGAACCAACCAAGAGGUAUGCUAACACUUUUAAUUCAAAAGCCAGCCUCAGCUUUUCUCUAUAGAUCAGCCUACUUGUUCAAUGCAAGUUCGAAUUUUGAGGAGAAGGGGCAAAUUACCUGGGCAUCAUACAUGAUAAGGCCAGCAUAAACCACAGUCAGACCAAAUAUGGAGUCAGCAAAUCCCCUGAGGCCAAACCAUAUUUAGGAAAUUCCAUAAUGUGGAUAUAUUUGGGGGAAUUGAGAAAAGAAAGGUUCAAGCUAAGCACCUUUCAAAAGCAAUUGCAGUUGCUGCAGCCACAACAGACUGGUUUCCCAAGAAUCAGGCCAAAAAUGUCAGAGAAAUAGAUCAAACACAAUUAUCAGAGGAGAAGAGAAAGAAAAAGAAGCUUACUGAUGAAUGUGUUGAAGGGAAACCUCCAGCUUGAAGAACACUUUUAAAUUCCAAUUUUUUCCCAUACAAAACCACAGAAGUGAAGGGCUUCAAGAGCUGCCCAAUCGCAGCUGAUGUCCCAGCAGCUAUGAGUACCUUUACGCCGGUGAAAUCAAAAGCCUAAGUGACGAUGACCCUCUUAAAAAAGGGAAUGAAAGAAGAGAAAAGGCGAAACCUUAUUGUGGAUGACUUCGGAGAUAUCUUGGAAUCCAACAUUGACAGCACAGGAGAUCAGACGAGGUGGCUUCUUUCGGCAGCUUGCAAGAUUGACUUUGGAGUUGGAGAAAGAUAAAAACAGAUCAUUGGCGUUAUGAGACACAAAACAGUGCUUCAACAUCUCCGACUCUGUGUAGAGGAAGGAACUUGAGAGUUAUUUUGUAUGGAUGACGAUAAGAAAAGGGGCCGCGAGAAAUUCGGAACCAAUGGCUCUGUUAUGUCUGAGAAGAAUGUUGUCUCUUGGUACAUUUUACUUGACUCAAAAAGCUUUUGUAGUUUUUCACAAUGACAGAUGUCAUCUUACACACAGAAUCUGCUUUAACUCUUUGAGUAAAACUCAUGGAUCGUUUGUCCCUUAAACCAAGUCAGUUGUUCUUCUUUAUAAAUCACAAGUUGUAUUCGUCAAAAAUUAAAGAAUAUGAACAAAAGUAAACAUACAGAAAUUUUUAGCUUGUAUAGUUUUUGUCUAAAAGUACUCGAAAUCUAUAUAUGCCGUAUCAUCGGUUGGACCAGCAGCACAGGCGACCAGAGGCUCAGGUUUAAUUGAGUUGCAGUGGUCACCAGCUCCAUGGUUCUUGGCCUUCCCUCUAGCGGCAGUGUAUGGUCCCAAGUCAACAGGGUCAGGAAUGUGAGGAGGGGAAGCGCUGCGUACCAGAGCCCAAUUCACUCCUUCAAAGAAAGGGUGUUGCUUUAUCUCUGUGGCUCCCCGCGUGUAAGCAAUCCUUCUGUGAGGAUCCUUCACUAAAAGUCCGCGGAUGAGAUCACGUGCGGCUGAGCUCACAUGCGGGCUAUCCGGGAACUUCAGCGGCUGACCCACCACGUUGUGCAGUGUGGCUCUGUUUCCCUGCCCCUUGAACGGGGUGGUCCCAUGGAGAAGCUCAUAGAGGAAGAUCCCGAAUGUCCACCAGUCCACAGCACUGCCAUGUCCCUCGCCACGUAUGAUUUCUGGAGCAAGGUACUCGUGCGUGCCAACAAAGGACAUUGACCGCACAUCUGUUGGCUCUGCCAUGAGCUCCGGCAUAGAGAGGCCGCCAAGGCCAGAGUCGGAUUUGGCUUUACGGGUUUUCUUGGAAGGGAGGAGGCGCGGCAGGAAGGCGGAUGGAUGCAUGCAGCCAUUGACUGCAAAUUCCUCGUUGAGGAUAGCACCCCCUCCGCUGCAGACUGAGGAGGACUUAACGAGGGUCGGAUUAAAGGUGCAACGGAGGGAGAGGUCGAAGUCAGAGAGCAUUAUGUGGCCUUCAUCACGAACAAGAAUGUUUUCUGGCUUUAAGUCUCUGUACACAAUCCCCAGCAUGUGUAGAUAUUCCAAAGCCAAUAGUACUUCAGACGCAUAGAACCUGUCAACAAACUCAUUAGAGAAGAUAAUAUGUAAGCUCCAACGCCAAAUAUGUUGAAUGUUUUCUCUAACCUUGCGGCCUCUUCUGUGAAACGCCUGCUGGGCUGCUUCUGUCUGAGGGAAUGGAGAUUUCCGCCGCUGCAGAACUCCAUGACUAGACAGUAGAAUUUAUCGGUCUCAAAGUAAGAAUAGAGCGUUGGCAAGAAGGGAUGAUCUAGCAGAGAUAGAAUUUCUCUUUCAGUCUGUGCCCUCAGCAACUUGUUUCUGCUGGCCAAGGAGGCCUUAUCCAUCACCUUCAUCGCAAAAACUGCAUUUGUCCCUCGCAGGUCCGCUAGAUAAACGCUGCCUAUGUCCCCAUACCCUAGACGUUUCAGAAGCCUGAAGUUGUCGAGACCUAUUUGAGGGCCUCUUGACGCGACUGAGUUAAUGGCAUCCCAUCUGACGUCCCCUCCUGUGUGAGGCUUGAAAGGUGUAGCUGAUGGACUCACCAGGUUAUCACCAUAGCCGUAGUCCGCAUUAUGUCUAGGGGCUCUCUUGUUGUCUGGGGACUUUGUCCUAUGGUGGUGAUGUUUUCCGCUCGGCGAUUGUAUUUCAGGGGUGGUUAAAGGAACAAUCUUCUUGGGAUCAUAAUGAAGAUUUUUAGGAGCAUUCUUCCGCAUACCUAAGCUAUCACCAUCGCUAGAAUAGGUGUUAUGCUUUAAAUCACCCUCAUUGUUGGUCGCUCUGGUUGCAGAAGGAGGAGGUUCAUGAGAUUUCGACGGUUGAUGUUUGACCAAAGGAUCCAUCUUCUUGGGAUCGAAAUGAGGGUUCCUGGGAACAUUGUCUCCUAGUUUAAGUGAAAAUGGAGAGAGGCUUCCUCGAGGCGACUUAGGUUUUACGUUUGGGUCUAUCUCCUUGGAUCCGACAUUAGCUGUGUUCUUCUUGGAAGCUAAGUCCAUUUUCAGAACGUCUCCAGGUUGAUGAUGGUUCUUCGGUUAUAAAGUAGCUCACCUACGACAUCAAUAAACAACACCUUAAAGAUGCGUUGUGCUAUGUAACAUGAUGACAACAACAACAACAACAACAACAAAAAUGCGUGGGAAACAUUACCUGAGAUGAUCACGCUUCCUUGCUGAUAUAAAAGACAAGUUGAGGAUAAUCAAACCCUGUCAAACCAAAGAAACUGCCACCAGAAACCAAGGAACAAACACAUACAAAGAAAGAGAGAUUGUAAAGCGUCAGAGAAACGAAAAAAAGUGAAAAUCUUGAAACAGGUUUCGAAAAAAUGAAGAAUGCGAACCAUGUUUAGAGAUAAGUGUAGGUAGUUCCCAUAAUGAAAAUCUCAAACUGAAAAAACAAAAGCCAGUAAAUAAGUUCCAAGAUUCCAAAUCCAGAAAUGAAGAAAGGGUGACUUGAAUUGUCCUGUCUUUGUAAACGUAAUAAUCCCCUUAAUAGUAUCUCAACCUGGAAAAGCAGAGAGAGAAAUUUUUCAAAGAAGGAGACAAGAGGAGAUGCAAAAGAGAUGGAGAGAGGGAAACUUUCUUAGCCUCUCAUCCCUCAACGCAUACAUUGCCGUUUAUUCCUCUCUCUCUCCCAAAUUGUUUUUCUUAUGUCUGUCUAAAUUAACCAAUUUUUUCAUAUUUUUUUUUACCUAAUUUGGUUCAUUGACAGAAGACAUAUGUCAACAAAAUGCAGACAGACAUUGGUAAAAAGGGAUUAGUUGCAGUAAUAGCUCACCUGGUCUCUCCUCGUCUUCUGCUUCUGACCAGCGGCGAAGAAAGUGAUUGUUUCUCGAAAGCGUACAAGGUAGUGAGUCCGAACCGUUAGUAACGUUAUCUCGAAAAAGAAGCAUGAAGACUUGGGGAUAACAAGUCAAAGUGGUUGCAAAGUAUCUGCCUUUCUUCUCCGAUUCCAUAGCCGACGAAAAACAACAGCCACCCAGAAACACGGGAGACCAACCGUAGAAUUUACAAGGAACUCCGAUUGGGUUUUUCACUUUUAAGUUUUUAAACACCUUUUUAAUGCUUUUGGGUAUGUGUUAAUCAACAAUUCAUGGGCUUUUUAUUAAAGCCCACUUCAGCUAGAUAUAUCAAAAUCCCUUACGAAAUUUUGGUCCAUCUUAAUAUGCAAUUUUUUUUUUUUUGUGAAAAACUGCAUAUCUUCUUCUCUUUCUACUUUCUAGUAUAUUUUAUUAAUUUAUUUGUAUGAGACUGUGGGCAAAAUUGCAAUGCUAUCUAGUUUUUCUAACAGUAUAAACGUUGGGAGUGGAGAAGAUACUAUAAAGAAGGUAGAACACUAUCUAAAACACUGACUAGCUUAAACAUAUAGUUUUGCUUGUUUUAGUGUAAAAUUAAAAUCUUCUUGUUCUUUUUUUUGAACAAACUAAAAAUCUUCUUGUUUAAUAUACGAAAUUCAUAUGCAAAAAUUCUCUUUUCUGAAUUCUGAGAGGUUGCAAUAACAUUAUACAACCAACACAAAAAAAAAAUUGGACCGUUUUCCAAAUUAGACGAUGAGGAAAAAGGAAAGGAAAUAUGAGUUGUGUUUGUUGUCAUAGAGAUGAUGAAUACAAGAAAAAAAAAAACAAUAAUGAGAUAAAUACAAAAAUCAAUAAUAAGAUAGAUGAUCCGGAAAUUAAGCAAAUGGCGGGGUAUGGAUGAUGUCAUGAUAAACAUUACAGACACACCAUCUCCCCCAUUUCCUUGUACCAUAUAUACGUCUAUGUAUAGUUAUUGUAUACACUCUUAAAUUAACGAAGGUGCGAGUAUCAAUACGGUCAUUCUUAAACUAAAAUGCAGUAUUAUUUAAGUUUAAUUAGUCUAGCAAAAUUGUACACACUAAUCAAAUGAUCUUUUCAUGUCAAACGAUUGGUAUUUACUUUUUCUUCUUCUUCUUCUUAAAGAUGUAUCAUGGAGGUGUAUGCGGUUACGAAAUGAUUGCACUGCAUGCAUAACAACAAGUCGCAAACCGCCUGAUGUAGCUUUUGUUUAAGUUUGCAACGGGACAUCAGUCCAAAGUCCAAACCAUUUUCUUAAUUUCGUCUACUUUAAUGUAGACCGAUCCGUGAAUUGCGGACCAAAUCAAUGUUGGAUAUAAACCACAGGGACAGAAGACAAAACAUGAUUUAGAAAAAAAGAUCAUAUAUAACAUAUGAGAUAGGGUUCAACAAUAUCUAAGAACCGCAACGGUUUGGGCCAUAGCUACAUCGAUAGGGGUGGGAGUUGUUUGACAUACGUGGGGGCUGGGGUCCCAAACAUUUGGUGUGAUAUCAUAGAGUAUAUUGUUAUGACUUUCAAAUAUUAACCAACUAAUAUCAGAGAGUGCGUACAUCCACACCAACGACCAUAUUAGCUCUUCUAUAUAUGAUGAUCCUAAAAACAAAAUGAUAUAUAUAUAUAUAUAUUCUUUAUAUUAGAAAGAAAUUAAAAGAUUCAUUCAAUUUGGUUUAAAUAUGAAAUCUGUCUUCAUGUUUACUUUGUCUGGCCUAUUCAUUUUCACGUUUAUCAUACAAAUGGUUAUAAAUGACUAGUGCACAAAAUAAAUAUCGUCAUGUGGUGCUACUUGGCUUGUCAUUAUUAUUAAGGUGGUAAAAUUAUGUCUAUAUCUUUUUCUUUUUCUUUCUACGCUUGCGGCAGAUAUGAGAGAUUCAACACCGGCCUCUCAUGCCUUUAUCCUUUAAUUUUAUCAUCAUAUUCUUCCCAAUACAUUUAGCUUUCUCUCACGAUAUAAUAGUAGGAACAGUUCAAAUACUAGCUCACUGGACCGUCAAAACCUGGUUACUUGUUAGUGUUACCUAUAUAAAUGUAAUAAAUUUGAUUUUAAAAUCACCGGAAAGACCCGUGAUUAAACCAAAUNNNNNNNNNNNNNNNNNNNNNNNNNNNNNNNNNNNNNNNNNNNNNNNNNNNNNNNNNNNNNNNNNNNNNNNNNNNNNNNNNNNNNNNNNNNNNNNNNNNNNNNNNNNNNNNNNNNNNNNNNNNNNNNNNNNNNNNNNNNNNNNNNNNNNNNNNNNNNNNNNNNNNNNNNNNNNNNNNNNNNNNNNNNNNNNNNNNNNNNNNNNNNNNNNNNNNNNNNNNNNNNNNNNNNNNNNNNNNNNNNNNNNNNNNNNNNNNNNNNNNNNNNNNNNNNNNNNNNNNNNNNNNNNNNNNNNNNNNNNNNNNNNNNNNNNNNNNNNNNNNNNNNNNNNNNNNNNNNNNNNNNNNNNNNNNNNNNNNNNNNNNNNNNNNNNNNNNNNNNNNNNNNNNNNNNNNNNNNNNNNNNNNNNNNNNNNNNNNNNNNNNNNNNNNNNNNNNNNNNNNNNNNNNNNNNNNNNNNNNNNNNNNNNNNNNNNNNNNNUUUCUAUUUAUUUGUCGUCACCUUAAGUUUGUUUUAUUAAUCGUAUAAUUUAUUGGGUGCAAACUGGCAGUUUGAAUUAAUCACCCCUUUUCAUCAUCCACUGUCUUUGUCGUUCAUUUCAUUUUUCUCGAGCAGUUAGGAUUUUUUUUACACUAUCUAUAUAUAUAGUUUUAUUACUUGUAUAAUCUUAAUUAAUUACAAAGUUCGGUGAUAUAUCCUGACUGUUACUCAAUUAAUUAAGAAGUUCGGUGAUAAUUGCUAUUACACCAAGUAAUAAAAUAACAAAUUAUUGAUCACUGUGUAUUAAUGGGUGACAACUACGAAUAUAUAUAUGAUAGUGUUUAAAUUAUACGGACGGACAUGAUAAUGAUAAUAAAAAACUGUUUUACAAAUGUUGAGAGUUUAAAGAAGACACGAGAGAGUUAGCAGUGUAUAGCUUGGAUUGGAGUUCAACGCAACAGAGUGUGCACGCAUCUCUUUCCGAUUCGGAUACUCCAAGUCUCCAAUAUACAAUUCACUCUUUGUCAUGUUUUGGUCUCUCUCUCUAUCUAUAUACAGUAUGUAUCUUCUAUAAUACAGUUUUUCUAGUUUUUAAUUUGAACCGACGAAUAUGUAUGAUAACAAAAUCUAAGAAAUUCUAGAAGAAUCCAAGGGUGCAAAAAGGACAGCCAAUGAGCGUAUGACAGCUAUACAUCUUACUCUCGCCAUGGUGACUUUGACUCUCCCUUCCCCUCUAGCUCUUGUUAUCCUCGCGUAUGAUCUAUUUCAUACAUAUAUAUAUAUUAAUACCUACCCUCUCAGCUCAAUCAUAUCAAUAAUUAUCAAACGUAUUUUGUUUUUAUAGUUUCUGCUGUAAUUGUGUUACCCUUGAUUACGUUCGCAUACCUUCGGUUUCUUCCUAGCUAGUGGGUGGCCCUUNNNNNNNNNNNNNNNNNNNNNNNNNNNNNNNNNNNNNNNNNNAAAUAACCGACUUAAAUACGUUGGAUCAUGCAAACUCUAGUUUUGUUACUACUACUACCACUAGUUAACCUUUAUAUAGCCUUUUCACUGUUACAAAAUUGAAUAUAUAUAUAGCCUUGCAUUCAUCUUGACUUUAACGGGGAAAAAACUAAGAAAUAAUAACGUUGUAUAAAUGUAAUUUCAGUUUCAGAUUUUAACAUAAAUUAUUGGAGGAGGAUCUAAUAGUAAAACAUUAAUUUUUUUGGUAGGAAUAGUAAAACAUUAAUCGUGAUAAAAAAUAAGUGAGAAACUCAAUAAUUUGAGGAAGAGGUCUCAUUUUUAUAUCUGUCAUUGUUGACCAUUAGCUACAUUUCAAAAAAAAGGUUUACUUUUGUUUUCUUGUUGAAUUGAACUAAUCAAAAAAACGACGAAGAAAAUAAAGUGAUACUAGCCGGGAGCAUCUCUUCUCUAAACACUACGUGUAAGAUAUAUAAAUACUUUUUUUUUGUUUUUUCUUAAUUAGAGGAAUGGAAAUAAAAAGUUGAGUGUUUUGAGUUUUAAAACUGUUCUGUUUAGGCGUUGAUGAACAAUCAGCAUAAAGCUUAAUACAAACGUGGAGCAUGUCUCGCUUCAUCUUAAGUAAACUAAACACUAAUUUUGUCCUAAAUGGUUACUACUUUCUAGUAGUAUUUAAAUCCCUUAUUAAUAUAGGGGUUUUUACAGUAACUGAUAUUAUAAAAUAAAUAAAUAAAAAAAGGAAGAGAGAGAGGAGAGAAGGCGUUUCAUCAAUGUAUAUAAAUACUCUGUUUUGGAAACAGAACCCAAAAGGGGCAAAAAACCAAGAAGACGAAUAGUAAAAUGCAGAGAAACAAGAAGAGAGUCUUGCUCUCCUGUCUCAUCAUCACGAUGCUCCUCCUAAUCUCCGCCGCAGAUUCCGUUAAAGACACGGCGUUGCGGCUCGAGUUAGCUCACCGAGACACUCUCUGGCCGAAUCCUCUCAGCCGCAUUGAGGACAUUAUCGGCGCCGACCAUAAGCGUCAUAGUUUGAUAUCUCGGAAGCGUAAGUACAAAGGAGGAGUGAAAAUGCCUCUAGGAUCAGGGAUCGAUUACGGAACGGCGCAGUAUUUCACGGAGGUUAGGGUUGGAACUCCGGCCAAGAAGUUCAGGGUGGUGGUUGAUACAGGGAGCGAGCUUACUUGGGUGAACUGCAAGUACCGUGGGAGAGGAAAAGGUAGAGUUGAGAACCGUAGAGUGUUCCGAGCUGAAGAAUCCAAGAGUUUUCGAACAGUUGGAUGCUUCACUCAGACUUGUAAAGUUGAUUUGAUGAAUCUUUUCUCACUCUCUACUUGUCCUACUCCUUCAACUCCUUGCUCCUACGAUUACAGGUACUUUCCCCCAAUCGGUAAUGGUGUUUGCAUUGUUUAAUACAGAGUCAAAUGUGAUUAGGUAGGUUUAUUACAAAAGUUGAUUAUCGAAUUUGUAGUGAUAGUGAUGGUGGAAUUUACAGACAUUUUAAUGGAGGAAGGAACAAUAACUGUUUAAGGAAUUGUUUGUGUUUGAGACAAGAUAUUUUAGAGAAAAGUUUGGUGGUCAAUCAAUGAAAGAGAAGAGGGACCUCAGUCUCUCUAUCUCUUGUCACUAUAUCAUUGUCUCUUCUCAUCUGAUCUAUACAGUAUAUGUAUAACUCUCUUAACUAUUUUAGAGGACUUCUUGGGGUGGCAUAGAUUAGAUGCAAGUGUAUGUAAAGGGAGGGUGAAAUUAAAUGUGAGUUGAGCUACAAUUCAGCUCGAUACAUAAAUGUCACUUAUUGUGACUUGUGAGUUAGGUUUGACGUUUGAGCAUAUGCAUAAAUUUAUUCAACCUCUCUUAUGACACUUAACCUAAUGCAAAUCGUUAAUCUGAGUUUCUGCAUUGUAUUUAACAUUAAAAAUUGAUGGGUUUGAAUAGAUAUGCCGAUGGGUCAGCGGCACAAGGCAUAUUCGCAAAGGAGACAGUCACGGUCGGUCUGACUAAUGGUCGCAAGGCUAGACUCCAUGGUCUCCUCAUUGGUUGUAGUAGCUCCUUUAGUGGACAGAGCUUCCGUGGUGCGGAUGGGGUUCUUGGUUUAGCCUUUAGUGAUUUCUCCUUCACUUCUACAGCCACUAGUCUCUUCGGAGCCAAAUUCUCCUACUGCCUCGUUGAUCAUCUCUCCCCCAAAAACGUCUCCAAUUAUCUUAUCUUUGGCUCUUCCUCCUCUGCCACCAAAAACGCCCCCGGACGAACCACCCCGCUUGAUCUCACUCUCAUACCUCCCUUCUACGCGAUCAGCGUCAUCGGAAUCUCCCUCGGAGACGACAUGCUCGAUAUACCCGCGCAAGUAUGGGACGCAACGACCGGUGGUGGGACAGUCUUGGACUCAGGAACUAGUCUCACGUUAUUGUCCGAAGGCGCGUAUAAACCUGUGGUCACAGGGCUCGCACGUUACCUUGAUGAGUUGGAAAGAGUCAAACCAGAAGGGGUACCGAUUGAGUAUUGUUUUAGUUCCACCUCGGGGUUCAACGAGAGCAAGCUACCGCAACUAACGUUUCACAUGAAGGGGGGUGCGCGUUUUGAGCCUCAUCGUAAAAGUUACCUCAUAGAUACUGCGCCUGGAGUCAAGUGUUUAGGGUUUAUGUCGGCGGGAACGCCGGCGACUAAUGUGGUCGGGAAUAUAAUGCAGCAAAAUUAUUUGUGGGAGUUUGAUCUAAUGGCCUCAACUUUGUCUUUUGCUCCCUCUUCUUGCACUUAGCUGUCUUCUCCAUCUCUCUUGUGUUUAUUACUAUUAUUACUUUGAUUAAUUGAAAUAUAUAUUGUUUGUUAGUGAAUGAAAUAAAAACAUGUUCGUUGUAAAAAUUCGCAAUCUUUGGCACUUGUUUAGGUAUUUGAUACACUUCUUCUAUUCAUCUUGAUCCUCUUGUAAAUUCGUUUAGAUUAUUGGGCCUUUAGGGACAUAACACAUAUUUAAACUGUUAAAAGGGCUGUACUGAGAGAGUUAGAUAGAAUGGGUUUAGUUGUAAUAAAGAUUGGCCUCCAAAGCCCAGUCCUAAUAAGUUCAUACUCUGACAGAUAAAGGCUGUUUCUGACAAUAGGAAUCUGAUGCAUCGUUGUAUUAUCUCAUGCCCUCUCUUCACAGAGCAUAUUUUUCUCUCUUUUUUUCUUUUCAUUUCUCCCACUCUGUCACUUAUGGAACAUUAGUAAAUCUUGUAGAGUACUCUGUUUUGAUACUGUACCCAAAAAUAACCCACCAUAGCUUAAAGAUCACAUCAUCUUCUACUAAAAGGAAAAAAUAUAAACAGAGGGUGAAGGAGGAGCGUUGUUGUUGGAACUUGUGUGGAAAGAAUAAAAAGGGUGGGAAAUAAGUUAAAUUUAGGGGAUGGGGGGAAACACAUAGUCACAUACCCAAUGACCAAUCCCAUCAUGGCAUCCACUAAAAUGAUCCAAUCAUUAUUGUUGACAGAGAAGCAUCACAUGCUACAUCAUCAUGAUAUUUGCUUCUACGAGAAUCAAUCACUACUUACUCUUCUUUCAAUAGUACAAAUGUAAAUAUAAAAAUACCACAAGAGGCAUACACCAUCGGCAAUAUAUUAGUAAUAUGUAUGGAAACCAAGAAGAUGCUCAUGAGAACCUCCUCAGUCUUCUAAAUUUUGGUUGUUUAGGCUGCCAAAAUCAUCCGGCUAGUUAAUUUUUGGUUUAAUACAUUAAAAUUAAUCAGUAGAAAAGUUAAAUGGCUUUUUUAUGUUAUAAUAUUUUUAAUAUAUUUUGUUUGGAAAUAUAGAAGGAAAAAAAAGUUUCUGUAUAAGCAUUAUGUAUGUUAAUUUUUAAACCAAUUAUUUUAUAGUAAGACUAGCUGUUAACAUUUGCUUAAUCUCACAUCAAAUUGGCUAGGCGUUAUAUCAUUCUCUAUAGACGCUAUCGAAUUUUUUGAAUAAAAGAUAAUAAUAUCCAUAANNNNNNNNNNNNNNNNNNNNNNNNNNNNNNNNNNNNNNNNNNNNNNNNNNNNNNNNNNNNNNNNNNNNNNNNNNNNNNNNNNNNNNNNNNNNNNNNNNNNNNNNNNNNNNNNNNNNNNNNNNNNNNNNNNNNNNNNNNNNNNNNNNNNNNNNNNNNNNNNNNNNNNNNNNNNNNNNNNNNNNNNNNNNNNNNNNNNNNNNNNNNNNNNNNNNNNNNNNNNNNNNNNNNNNNNNNNNNNNNNNNNNNNNNNNNNNNAAAUCAAUUUACUAUUUCAAUUUGUCACACCACACAUACAUCAAAAAACCUUAUACAUGUGAUUUUAAAAUAACCUCUCUCACACUCAAAAGAAGAAGAAGAAAAAAAAAAAUGAAACCAGUUGCCUUAUCUUACAUCGCCAAAUUAAAAUAUAUUAAAAAACCGCAAUCUCUUUUUUUUUCCUACACCUAAAAUUUGCACUCGAAAGUUAAAAUUAAAAAACAACACUUUCAAUUAAACCAAAAAUAAUAAUAAUUAGGGAUUGUUUGCAAGGAGGGUGCAAGGGGUGUGGCGACAGCAAGUGAGCAAGUGGUCGUUAGUAAGACCAGCGGCUUGCAUGAAUGAGUGAACCACAGUUGGACCAACGAACCGGAACCCUCUACGAACCAUGUCUUUGCUGAUGCUCUCAGACUUCGAUGUCUUGACUGGAACCUUGUGUCCAAUCUUGUAGUUCGUGGAGAUAGGCUUGUGGUUCACAAAACCCCAAAGGUAUUUCUCUAGUGACCCGAACGCUUUCUUGAUCUCUACGAUCUUUGUAGCGUUCUCCACGACACCUCUCACUUUGCUCAUCUCUAUCUUGUAUUCGAUGCUUAUUGCAUUCAUCUCUUUCUCGGUGAGUUUUGCUACCGCUUCCGCCUCAAACUCCAUAAACGCCUUCCUGUAGUCUUGGCGUUUUCUUAAGGUUGAAGUCCAGUCCGAGCCUACUUGUGCGCCGCUGAGUGUCAGCAGUUCGAACAACAUCCUGAAAAUAAUUAAGAUAUUUAAUCUUACUAUUUGACGAGAAUUAUAUGAAAUAUCAAUUAGCCUUUGAUUGUGAACAUGGAAAGAAGAGUUAUGUCACGCACUUGUCAUCAUGAACUGGGACUCCCCAUUCUUCAUCAUGGUAGGCCACGUAAAUAGGAUCUGAAGAUAACCAAAAGUAAAAUCUGUUAGAUCCAUGUAUAUAAUAUGAAGGUGAAACCUAAAGUUCAAACCCAAAAACAAAAAAAAACAAAAAACCUUGGAAAGUAAUAUAUACGAGACAUAAGGUAAUUUAGUCAUUAAUCAAUUGAUUAUGAGUAAUUGAGUUUAAAUUGAAAGUUGGUGAAACUUAACAAAAUCCAAAAAAGAAAAGAAAGAGUAAUAAAGAGAGAAUUAAAUGGGUCAAUACCAGAAGUGGGGGUGAGGAAGCUGCACCUCUGAGGAUGAGGGUUAGGGUUAGGGUGAACAAGAGGGACGACUUUGGAAGAAGUGAAAUUAAUGGUUGAUUUGGAUCUGCCGUAAUGAGCAAUCUUUAGUUUCCUUAGGGCUUGUUGUGCAGCCACUUGCUCCCUCCUCCCGGCGGCUAUACUUCCAGGAGCCUCCGUUAUGAGCCAGGAAGAAUAGCUCUCCCCUUCCUUAAAACUCUUUGAUUUCUUGCGCUCUAAGCUUCCCUUCGUUUUGGCUGCAACAUUGCUCAUCACACUGUCCCUCUUGAGAGACUCAGAGCGGUCCAUUAGGCGAUGGCAACUACUUGGCGGCAACAUUCCUCUUUUGGUCAAACUUAUCGCCUCCGCUUUGCUCAUUUUCUCUAUAUCAAAAUUCUAAGUUAUGUAUGGUGAUGGAUGAUGAUGGAAGCUGUAUUAGUAAAAGAGAGAGAAUUGGUUGAGAUAUUAAUGAUGGUGAUGAAAUAGAGAAGAGAGGUGAUUGCGUACGUAUAUAUAAUUGUGAGAGGCAGAGAGAGAGUCGUUGAAAAGUAGUAAAAUAUGUAAGGGUGAUAAUAAUGCGUAAACAUUCUUACAGAGUAAACAUGAUUAAUAUUCUAAAACUAAAACCGUGUGGAUGAUAUUAGUGUAUUAGUAUUAAUGACAACAUGUAAUAACAAAAAAAAAAAAAAAGGGGGAAGAAGAGAAGGAAUAUAGAUAGAAAAGAGAAGAGGCAGAGCAUGUGCAGGAUUUGAUGCAAUGAUGCCACCAAAUCAUCCCAUGUGACCUUUUUUAUGUCUUCCCCUAACUCUUUCUACAUGUUUACUUUUCUUUUGGUACUUUGAGAUUCUUUCUUGUAUUAUUUUAGGCUGCUUUCUUAUAUUUUUCUGAAUUUUUUUUGUUUUUUUUUUUGGUUGUUGUUGUCAUGACAUAUUUUUGUGAUUUUUAUCACACCCAUUUGAACCAUAGUCAGUUUAUUCACAAAAGCAAUUCUGUUAUAUAAUUUACAAGAAUUAAUGCAAUAUUAGACAAUAACUAUUGAAAUUAAAGUGUUUUUGUUUUGUUCAAUUUGUAUGUCACCACAUCUUUUUACUUUCUCGCAUCUUUUACCUUCGCCAUGCAUAAUUUUUCUCUUAAAGCACAAUUUUGUUUUUAAUGGAAUGCAAUUUUUAAGGAUUUAUAUAUCUAGGAAGAAAAAAUAAGCAGAGAAAUUGAGAUGAAUUUCCAAAGAAGAACCAAAACCUGAGUAAAUUAAAGCGUACGUUUACGAUGAAGGAGAUAAGAUAAAGAGACAGACCAUGUGGUUCCACUUAUCCUAACAAUUCCAUUAUUACCAGUACUAUAAUAAUAAACACUACUCAAUAGUAGUUUAAUACAUACCAUUUAUUCCCGAUCUACUCUGCCUCGGUGUCCACUUCGUGUUACUCCUCAAUCGUAUCAACCAACAUAUAUAUAUACAUGAGAUUAUUAUGUUUCCUUCAUCCUUUUUGUUCCAUUUCAAUCAAUAUUUCUCUAACGCGUAACGUAAUAAUUGAAUUGGCGUUUUGUUGAAUCUUUUUUCUUCUGAUUACUAUAUACCCGACCUUUCCAACACCUGUGUGGGUAUAUAUAUAUUUCUUGUACAAGUGUAAGUCCUCAAUUGAAUUAGAAAGAAUGUUAGUGUAGUAACAGGUGAGAGACCAUGUGGCAAUGUAACGUGUUCCCUCUUUGCCGUCGCUCUUCCCACGAAGUUUCAUUAGAAAAAAAAACUAGCAUUAUUGUUUCCGUACCAAUCAAAUGGGAAUAUCGUCGUAGUCUCAUCAAUCAUAGGCGGACGUAAGACAUUAUUGAAGUCCUCUCUAGUGGGCUGGUCUGUUUAUUCGUAUGAAUGUCACACCCAUAUUUCAACUCACUUAAUUAGCCCAUUUGAUAUGGCGCAAAGUACUACAAAAAUAUAUACGACAUUGGAGCCAAAAAAGCCUCUAAUGAGAUUCGUUAAAACUUAAAAGCAUAUGUACAAAAGUCUUAAGUAGUGGGAUUAAGGAGAAGGAAAAAAAAUGAUACAUUGAUUUAGAAAAUUCUCAGCUUUUCAAAACUAGUGAAAAGCAGAAAGUGGCAAUUAUUCAUGUACUUCUAUAUACACUUGAGAAAAUGAAAAAUAUUGUAGAGUAAAGCUAAAAGGUCCACCCAAGAUCAUCCAUGGGGUUGAAAUCUAUAGACGACAUUGCAGAUGAGAAAAUGGAAGCAAAAUCAGGAUCAAAAGCAGAAGAAGACGGAGUAUUAAACAAAAUGUCCAUGUUGAGAUCAUCAUCAUCAACUCCUGCUACUGGCUUAUCACCCGGCAGCAUCGGAGCUUCGUGGAUCGCCAUUUCAUCAACAUGUGACCAGUGAGGAAUCAUAUUCUCAUCAUCCAAAAGACUUGACAUGGUAUCGUUGAUAGGGAUCAUGGCUUGAGAGGGGGUUAAAGUCCGGACAGGAGAUUUAAGUCUGUUUGGUUUAUUGGAAGUGGGAGGAUUGAUGUUUGUGAUUGAAAAAGCAGUGGUUGCUUGAUCAAGAUCACUAGGGUUUUUCAUGAUGGACGUCGUCUUUGAUCUUGGCUUGGACACAUUAUUACUAAUAUUAGAAGAAGAAGAAGAUCUUUUAUGUGAAGGCAUGAGGUUAUGUGUAGAAGGGUCUAAGCCUUGAGAAAGAAGUUUCUUCUUAAUGCAUGAGUUCCAAAAGUUCUUGACUUCAUUAUCAGUGCGUCCGGGUAAGUGCUUAGCAAUCUGAGCCCAUUUGUUACCAAGAAUACGAUGUACAUCGAUUAUGAUUUGCUCUUCCUCUUCGUUAAACGAACCUCUCUUCAGAUCAGGCCUCAAAUAGUUUAUCCACCUUAGUCUACAACUCUUCCCACAUCUUUGCAACCCUAUUUAAUUACACACAUACAUACUGUUAGCUAGGAUCGAAACCCACAUCAAAAAUAUAGUAGACAAUAUAUAUAAAGAACAUAUAUAUAGAGAGACUAAUUAAUUAAUCCACUCAUUGCUAAUUAGUUUUGAAUUUACGCAUACAUGUCUUAUUUUCCUUUUGUCAAAAACAUGCGAUCAAUAUGUUAAAAUAGUGAACAUAAAAAGAGCUAAGAGAUGAAGUUACAGAACCGGCAAGCUUUGGAACGGAACUCCAACUAGGAUGGCCAUGAGUGGUGAUAUAACGAAGAAGCUUCUCGUCUUCCUCUGGAGACCAAAGCCCUCUUUUCACUUUGUGUUUUCCGCAACAUCGGUGUCCCAUUUCAUCUCUUUUCAUUUCCCAUUUCUCUCUCAUCUUCGUAGUUUAUAUACGCAGAGUCUCUUGGUGUUUAUAAACCGAAAGGCUCACUAUUUAAUUAAUUUACCCACAUUAGUACUAAUAUCUUCCUUGGGAGAAUUAAUCUUAUAUGAUUAACCAAACUUGUGUUGUUUCUCUUUUUUUCUAUGUGUCUUCAAACGGAAGCCUGAUUAGAGACAGUGGUUGUUCACGUCACUUUCCUUAACAAAAAUCAUCUAUGUAUCUAGUUAACUUGUGCUUCUCGUUAUUUCCAUACAUUGCAUGCUUGGUUCCUGUAAUUAUCAGUUUAGUUUAAUAUAUAUGCAAUGUUUUAAUGAUCUUAUAUAUAUGCACUAACGGACACUCAUUAAAUUGUUGUCUACUGGACUUCAAAAUACUUCGGAUCAUUGGUAAGAAAAAUAGUACUAGAAUAAAAACACAAGUUAUAUAUAUUGUCAUCGGAUCCUUAAACAAUCCAGGAUAAUGCUAUAGGAUUUGAGGAGCAGAGGUCGUAACGUAGAAGCCAAACAUAAGACUUAGUCCCAGCCAGGUACUUUCAUCGUCAUGAGGGGAGACUGUCUUUGCAAGUACAGUACCUUAGUUUGUUGAUAUAAUCGUGGAAGCAAGCAACAACAACUUUUCUAGUGUUAAUUUGGAUAUUAUAGGAAUCACAUAAAUAAUAUUAUUACCACUCGUAAAUACGUUCAUUUACUAACAAAUUAGUUAAAAUUAGAGGUAAAGUAGGGAGCACGAAUGCAUACAAAUUCCGACCUAAUCUCAACUACUAGAAACUUGGAUCAUUCAAAGGAGCUUCCGAAUAAUUAAUAUUUCCGCUUAAGUAAGCCACGUACGUACGCGUCAAGCUUGAAUAUAGAGAUACUUCUACAAUGCAAUGUUUUAUUUGAACCCGUCAAGUUAAGCUUAAGAAUAAACUAAUGAGGUGAGGGGGGAAAAAGCGGUUAAUUAACAUAAUAAUAAUAAAGCCGUCGCUGUUAAUUACCGUAUAAUGUAAAAAUCUUUGUCAAGAUGAAGCUACAAAUAUUUUAACUAUAUAUUGUACACUUGUUUUGGUUUUCCAGUAAUAUAACAUAGUCCUCUCUUUCAGUCCUUUUUUUUCUUGUAAUUAAAUAUUCUUACUUAUAGAUAAACCCUAACCAUGGGUAAACUGAUGAUUGGUAAUCUUUUUUUAUGUUGUCUAUAAAAAUCUAAAACUGAAGAAAAAAAGAGAUUGCAAUUGUUGGGUCAUUCUGGUAUUAAUUUGACAUCAUGAAGUCAGAAUGAUGUAACACGAUUCAUUUUCUGAAAUCAUGAUUCAUGAGUUGCUUUUCCACGACAACGUAUGUGAUUAAGCAAUUGUGAGAAUAGUAACAGAGAAGCUCUCUCGACGUAGUUCUUUUUCUGGGUGUUAUCUUUCUUGGUUCCAUAUAUUUUUACAUACCACCAAAAUGUUUAGUUCGACGACGUACCAGUUUAAUUUGAUUACAUUUAUCAACAUAACAACGUAGAGAUCUGGAUUCUUUUUUAAAAAUAUAUAUUUUUCAGGAUUUUUUGGGGUUUUAUAUUCUGUCGACUGCUAUUUUUUCUUUGUUUGGAAAUGAUAUUUUGGAAGAAAAAACCUUUUAAAAACAUAGAUAAAAUUUCUUAGAACAACUUUUUGCUAGAAAAAAGUGAGAAGCAACGAAUAAUAACAAAAAUCUUAAUUUUCUGAAAGCUGCUGAAGUGUGAGAGAAAACAAACAACACAUUACUCCAUCGUCCAAUCUUAUCUUUAAGUUAAGUAUGUACCAGUCCUUACAACAAAUUAAAAAAAUAUAUACAAUCUCCCAUCCAUUUUUGACCGUUUCAGACCCAAAAAAAAGAAGACUUAACCUUUGACUCAUCAACCGACAGACUUGAGACUUUAACAUUGCAAUACGCUUAAGGUGGUCUAUGAAGUAAAGAACUCUCUAAAUUGUUGAUACCUCACCACUACAAAUUAUAAGAAUGGGGCUUUUCUAGUUUUAGGCUUUUGGCCCCAAAUUUCAGCUAUUGGAUCCAGUAGCAACAAUUUAUGGGAAUGAAGGCAAUUGGAAAAUUAAAUGACAAACCUUUCACAAAAACCUGCAAGUGCAUGCAGUGAUAUUUUAUUAUAAAGAAAUUAUAAAAGGUGGAUUAAGACUGGAGUGGUAAACAAGAAUUUAUCGUUGGAUGCGUGGUGAUGGUGGCUAUAUAAAAGUGACUAGAUAGAAAGACAUACGAUUUGAUCGGUUAUAAUUGUGCAUGUAGACUUUUUUUACAAAAUAAAAUAAUAAAAUGACCUUCGAGAUUUUGCAUGUAAACGGAUGUGACUUUUAAAAGAAAAGAUCAUGUAUCACGAGCUUUAGAAGAAAACCAUUAGAAGAAUAAAAGUUGUGGCAGAAUUAGGAAUCGUAUUUAGGACUAUACAACUGUGUUUUAAGUUUGUAAACCUUUAAUUUCUACUUACCAUUUACCACUCAUCACCCCAUAAUCUUUUAAAUAACAUUUGCACGUAACACAUAAUAACUACAAGAAUCGUGAUAUUCAUAAUGAGGCAGCCUAUAGCCUUACUUAACCAUAUAUGCUAUCAUCAGCACAUAUAUAUCAAGUGAAUAGAAAAGACUUAAUGUUUGGCAAAAGUUAUUACAAGUAAAUUUGCGCAGUUAUAGACCAAGUGCGCAUCAGAAACUAGUAGAAAGAGACGUCAAGCUAAGUAGCUAGAUCUAUAUAUGUACUCACUCUCUAACCGAGACAAACCGUACGGCCUUUUGUGAUGGAACUCCGAGAAUCUUGCAGGGGGAAGUUGGAAUUGAUGUUAGGGAGAACCAACGUAGAUGAAUCCAUGGAGGAAGAAGAAGGAAAAUGAUCCUCGAACCAUGGGAUUGGUAGGGACGAUGUGUUGUUACAAGUAUUGGUGCAGUCGAAAAAGAGAGUAGAGUAGUCUUUGGUGAGGCUUGCUUCUUGGGUUUCACAUGCUUUCUCUAACAUGCUCUCCAUGUAUUUCCCUUGUGCUUCUAUCCUUUGAUUCACUUGUCUUUCUAUUUCCACUUCUUCCUCUAUUCUUCUUUGCACUUCCAUUUGCAUCCUUUAUUAUCACCAUUCAUAAUUACGAUUUACAUAUUUCAUUAUUUAUACAUAAAUCAUUAUACAUAGUUAAGGAAAAAAAACUAUAUAUAUACUUAGGAUUUGGAAUUGAAAUUAAAGCACAUACUCGUUCAUAUUGCGACCAACGAUCAGCGGACUAGUCGUGAAUACAGCAUUCCUUCGAAGAUCCAACAUGGAGGCUGCAUGGAUGCAUGAUGUUGAUUAACAUAUUCAUGGCUCAAUCACAAAUUUACCAAUAUUGUAUCACUAUUCUUGGAGCACAUUCAUUAAGAAGGUAGAUGAUUUUUGACGGACCUCUAUUAGUAUCCCUAAUAUUAAUGGAGUGGUUUUGACUAUGCUCCUUGUGAGGCUGCUUUCCAAGUCUGAACUUCUGUAGUUGAAACACACAAAUAUAUGUUUUAAAAUCUUAACUACGGCGGCAAAAUUAGAAAGCUAAUGAAGAGUUAAUUGAGAAGAGAGAAAGUGAGGAAGAAUAUGAUGAGGGUAAGAGCUAGACACCUGGAGAUGGCUCUUGAGGUGAUAAAGCGUGAGACCCUUCACACCCAUCACUCUCAUUAUCGUCUUUGGUGUGGCCUCUGCUGAUACAUAUCACAAUUAAUAUAGCUCUAGCUAGGUAUUUCAUACAUAUAGAAAUAUGAAUAUAUAUCAUGAUGAUGAUGAAAACGUACUAUCAGGGCCACCAAGGUGGGCGACGGCGUCAACGAAGCGUUCAUGAAGCUCUGCUGUCCAGCGAAGGCGAGGUUUAGGGUCAGUGGUGAGGACGAGACCUGAUGAUGACUCAUCUCUCAUCUCCUCCCUAGACUGCAUCAUUCUACUAAGGAAUUAAAUGCCGAUCGAUGAUGCUCUAUUCAACAAAGAGAAUAUUAGUAUUUAUGAAAGGUGAAAAAGGAACGCACGACGUAUUCCAAAUUACAAGUAUAAAUUAUGGAGUGACAUUGACAUAAACAAUUUUUUAAUAUGGUAUAAAAAAGGUAGGGAGGCAUAUAUCUAAAUGCACAGUAGGGUUUUAGGCUUUGAAGUUGUAAACCAUGCAAGCUUUUUUGCAUCCACACAUGUCUAAAUACCCAACAAAAUCCAAAUUUUACAUGUCUUACUCCUUCUAUUUUCCAUGUAUUGACGCAUGUGGCCUUACACGCCUACACACACAUACUAUACGGGAUUGCUUUUUUCGUUUUAGAGAUAUGCACAUGCAUGGGAAUAAGGAACAAAGGCAUCUUAUUUGUUUUUAAUUAAAACUUGUUUAAUGUCGAUGAAAAGAUUCGUGUGCUUUCUUUGCACAUUCAAUAAAGAAAGACAAGUGGAACAAAGCUGAUGUUUAACUUUUAGCUCAUCAAUUGUAAGUAUAUGUAUGUAAAUAGGAAUCAUGCAGGUUGGAAAAACUAAAAAAGGAAGAAAGUAAUUGUUUUGUUUGCUUAAUUUCCAAGCAGCCUCUUGUAUCUCCUUUAUCUUAUAGAUUCUUCUUAUUUUUAUUCCUUCUUCAGAUGAAUAUAUUCCCUUUCAAAUCACACACCACUCAUGACACACGCAACACGGACUCAACUCAACCAAAGUCCGUAAGUGUCGGACCAAACCAAAUAAUACGCAUAGCUUGUCUUGAUCCAAGGAAAAAGUGGAGGCCUUUUCAGAAACAAAUGAAGCCCACAUUGAAAUUUAUAGGCCCAAUUGGUUUAAGCCCUACUCAAAUGAGUACAUGGCAUUUGCCAUGCAUAGUGAUAGAGUUUUUCAAUUUUCUUGACCACUAUAAAGUCCUCCUACAUCAUCAAUUCAAUAAAAAUAAUUAAGCAAUUGAGCAGUUAGGUCUUUUUUUUUUUUUUUGGAUUUUUGUUCUUGUUUUUUUUUUUGUUUUCUCUAAUUCAAUAUUCAUGCUGUGAUCAUAGGUCCAUUUUUAAUUUGGGAUUUUUGUUCUUGUUGUCUUUUUUUCCUUUUCUGUUGAUCAUAUAGGUCCAGAACAAAAUCAAAAUUAUUGGUCAUGCAUUAAUUUGGUAAUAUUUUAGUUGUAUUUAUCACAUUUCAGCUAAAAUAAAAUAAAAUAAUAGAGCAGUAACAAAGAAAAAAAAAAGGAAAAUAGAACCGUGUUUACCAAUUGGCAACUGCCACGAUCCAUCCUACGAAACUUCAAAUUUGGGGUUUUCUCUUCUUCUUCUUCUUCUUCUUCUUCGUCUAGAUCGGAGGGAAAUGAGUCUUACCAGCCGCCAUUGACGACUACGACGACCAUUCUUCCUCUUCUUCAUCUUCUAGCUUCGUUCUGCUUUUUCUCUAUUUCAUUCUCUCCUUUACACUAUUUUCUUCCUCUACACAGAGAUCUCCCUUUUUCUCAGAGAUGUCUUCUAAUACGCCAUCGUCUAGCUCCGCUGCUGCCGGAUCGGCAGAUUCUUCCGCCGCCCGGAGAAAUUCGAAACGACCCAAGUGUAUUUAUUUCUUCCCGUCUUCGUCAUCUUCCUUUCGAUUCUUCUUUGACUGUUCGAUUUAGAUUCAAUAUUCGCUGUAUCUUUGAGUUGACUUCCAAAUUCUCUACUUGUGGGUUUCACCAAAAUAAUAAUAAUUAUGGUUCUUACUUUUUCAUCGAACUUUAUUUGGAAGUAUUAGCUAGGAAUCGAGAAUAUGCUUUAGCUAAGAGUUGAUUCUGCUUGAUUGCAGAUUCAAAAUUUACACAGCAGGAGCUUCCAGCUUGCAAGCCAAUUCUUACGCCUGGUUGGGUAAGUUAGCUUCUUCAUAUCACUUGUAGCAUAUAUGUUAUCUCUUACUCAUGUUUUAGUCUCCAGUUUGUUUAUUCCUAAGAAACGCUACUAAAUUUUUAUCUUUUUCCUUAUCUCGGCCUGCAGGUGAUUUCGACAUUUUUGAUCAUUAGUGUCAUCUUCAUUCCCCUCGGUGUUAUUUCUCUUUUUGCUUCUCAAGAUGUAAGUGAGGAUGAUCCAGUUCUGCUCUUCAUUAGAUGCUUUUUUUAAAAAAUUUAUCUCACAUGUUUCAACUCUUAUGGGUAGGUUGUUGAGAUCGUUGAUCGGUAUGAUAAUGAUUGCAUACCUGUGCCUGCUAGGGCUAACAAGGUUGCAUUCAUUCAAGGAGCUGGAAAUAAAUCUUGUAGCCGGAAUAUAACUGUGAGUUUCCCUAUGCAAGUGGUUCCUUCUCUGAUAUUUGAUUAGUCUCUGAAUUUUUUUGUUUACUUUCUCUUUUAUCCUUGGUAUUUUUAGGUGCCUAAGCUAAUGAAGCAGCCUAUCUACGUAUAUUACCAGCUUGAGAACUUCUAUCAGAAUCACCGCAGGUAUGUGCUGAGAACUUCUAUCUUUCUGGUAAUAUUUUGUAUUUGUUUGGGGUUUCAGUGCUAGACCUAGAGUAAUCCACUACAUUGAUAUCACAAAGUAGUCAGAGUGCAAGGAAAUAUAUACUUACGUUUGACUUAGAUUCCUUAAGUCUUUCUGACAUGUACAUAUUCAAUAUUACAGGUAUGUGAAAAGCCGAAGUGAUGCGCAAUUGAGAAGUGUGAAAGAUGAGAAUCAAAUAGACGCAUGCAAGCCUGAGGAUGAUGUUAAUGGGAAGCCGAUUGUACCUUGUGGUCUAAUUGCCUGGAGUCUAUUUAAUGACACAUACACUCUCUCAAGAAAGAGCCAGCCUUUAGCGAUUAACAAGAAAGGAAUCGCAUGGAAGAGUGACAAAGAACACAAGUUUGGGAAAGGGGUCUUUCCAAAGAACUUUCAGGAGGGCAAUAUCACCGGUGGUGCCAGACUAAAUCCAAAUAUAUCAGUAAGCCUUUAAUAACACGGUUCCGACUCAGACAGGGUCAUAUCCUUUGCAAAACACUUGACUUGGUCUCCCUUUCUAUUUGUAUCUUCCAGUUGAGUGAGCAAGAGGAUCUGAUUGUGUGGAUGAGGACUGCAGCUUUGCCAACAUUUAGAAAAUUAUACGGGAAGAUAGAGACUGACUUGCAGAAGGGUGAUACCAUAGAAGUGAUUCUGCAGAACAACUACAACACAUACAGUUUCAGUGGGAAGAAGAAGCUUGUCCUGUCAACAACAAGUUGGCUUGGUGGAAAGAAUGACUUCCUCGGGAUUGCUUACCUUACAGUUGGGGGAAUUUGUUUCGUCCUGGCACUUGCAUUUACCGUCAUGUAUCUUGUGAAACCCAGGUUUGUAUCUUUUCAUUGGCCUCUUAAAUGUAUUAUUCAAAGAUAACAGCAAAGUGUAGAUAGAGGUUUAUUUGGUGUGGUGUUGGGUUUGUGCAGGCGACUUGGUGAUCCUACCUACUUGUCGUGGAACAGAAUUCCUGGAGGUCGGUAAACAAAGACUGUGCAUCAUCUGCGUAUGUAAAUCUACUUAUCCGUCAUUGUAAUCUGAUUCAAAACUGCAAGUGAUGAUUUUCUUAUUAUAGAUGUUAAAUGUAUGUAAGAUGUUACAGUUAAAAGAUACCCAUUACAUAGAAUGAUUGAUGCUUCCUAUCAUGCUCGUUACCUUUUCUCUUUUUCUCUUCCACAAAAGCACUUCCUCGAAAUGGAUUUAUUAGCUGGACUCACUCUCCCUUUUAACUAUUUGUUUGUAUCAAUCAAUAGCACUCAUUGCGUUCAAAUAGAAUAGUAUUUGAUUCUGAGAUUAGAAACACCAUUACAGAUUCGAGAAAAAAGAGCGGCAUUUGGUUUGUUUGUUUGUUUGUUAGCUGUAGUUCAAUAAUCAGGCCCAGAUGGCGAGGAGGGACAUGGAAGCAGCGCCGAGGACGAGAGAGAGAUAAGCGGCUAAGUGAAGCCAGAGAUUUGAUUGCAAUCUUGGAUUCAUAAAAUCAGGAGCAAGAAGAUCAACGAGUGACAUGUAAAUGAGAAUCCCACCAGAUGCAGCGUUCAACAUCCCUUCCACCAUUAUUGCCUCUUUGCUCUCUUUCCUGUACCCUAAACCACUCGACAGCCCCAUCCCUAUCCCUAUCCCAACCGGUGCUGUCACCGAGAAAAAUGUUGCCAUUAUCACCGUUGAUUUCGACUUCAACUCCGCCUAUGCAUACACACACAGCAUCAGUAUACUAUCAUCAAUCAUUUGAGUUUUAAUCAUGAAUAAAAAAAUAUGAUUGUUGUGACACACUGUUCCCCAAAGCUAAGUUACCAAUGAAACUAAAAGAUUUGUCUAAACAAAACCACACGUCCGGCUAAGUGAUUAAUAGAAAGUCAAGAUUCGUGGACUUACAAGGGAGAUGCAGCCACCGAGACCAAGACCUUCAAAGAACUGAUGAAACGAAAGAGCAGCCAUGAGUGGCUUUAUGGUGUCUAUACUCUGUGAAGCUCCAAGUGAUAUCCCUAUAAUAACCGAAUGCACAACUAUCCCAAUCUCAAGCACCUGCGACACUAUGCGUCUCCUUAUCAUCUCAGUCGAGCCAUGCGCGUGUCCGUGACUCGCGUGCGUGUGCACGUGAACAUGGCCCCCGUGCUCUUCUUCGUCCACUACUACGUUAACUAGCUUGCUCCCACUGUUAUUGCUAAAAUGUUGCCUCUUGUAAUACCCCGUGGCAAAAGUGUCGAUCAUAAGAGUCCCCAUCGCCGACAGCAUCGCUACAAAACCCGCAAACGGGAACUUGCCAGCUGUCGUGUCCUCAAGACAAGGUGAGCUCAAUCUCUCGAACGCGUCUGGCAGUAUAUGGACGAAACCUGUGCAUAGGAUCACUCCUGCAGCGAAAGCUUUCACCAUGAAGAAAAUAUCGUUUUCCGGCUGCAACGCCGGAAUCUUUUUCCCGAUCAACGGUAGACUCACGCCGAGUCCUCCAGCCACAAGAAGCAAAGCGAUCGAUCCAAGCUUCAGCGUCGUCGCUUUCUCUGCUUCAUCUUUAGACACAACGUCAUGAUCAUCGUGACUUGUACAAUCGCUCGAGGCACAACACACAUGCAAACAUAUUAUCAAUACAACAACACAAAUCCUCAACAUAGUUGCCGAAGAAGAGCCGCAUUCAGACAUGGGUUUCAGAUAUUUAAUUUUUGCUCUUAAUUAGCUUGUUUUGUAAGAGAGUAAAGUGUGUGAAGAGUUAUGAGGAAGAAAGGGAAGCUUUUUAUAGAGAGAAAGCGAGAGAGAACCUUCACUUUUUUUAAUAAGCGAGUGGUCCAUAUAUGUUAAUAGCAGAAUCUAUAUAUUACGUAGAGUUGACCACUAUACGUAGAGUUUGUCGCGCACAAAAAGAAUUUGAAAUUCUCUAAGUAGUACUCCUAAAUACUGUAUUGUAUAUAUAACACUAAUAAUUAAGUCAUUUAACAAAGUCUAUAUAGAAUAGAGCUAGGAAGGAACAUUUAUGGAAAAAGGCUGGCUAAAGAAUUCAUCGGUUACUAUAAGAAAUUCUGCAAAGCAUCUUAGAUUGUAGUGUAUGGAUGGCUCAAACAAGACGCCCUUUCGAUCUCUUCUAAUCAUUACUUAUCUAUUUAUGCAUUCUCUUGAGAUGCGAUAACUAAACUACGACGAAAAUUCAAAGUAAUGUAUCUAUGUAUACUUAAAAGGAACAACAUAUAUAUGGAGACUACCAGAGUUUGGAACAUUAUUGGUCUUGAACUUAUAAGUAGGAUUUGAAUGGAACCAUGCAUUUUAGGAAUAAUAAAGAAUGGGAAAAGAGAUUAGCUGUGAAUGCUAAUCCUUGUAAUUAUUAGUUGUCAAGGUUAGUUCAUGAUCUCCUUUUUCCACUUUAUCAAAAAGCAAAAACUAUGUGUCUAUAUAUGAAUUGAAAAUGUGAGAGACUUUUUUUAUUUUAUUUUAUAACAAGAAAGUAAAAAUGUGAAGACAGAAUGUCGUCAUGUUAGUCUGUGAACCGUGAGAUGAGUGGUUUUAGUUUGGUUUUUUAAUUUACUUUUGGGUUCAAGAAGUUUACGAUGGUCUCAUCGUCCUCUCAAGGUGGGUGAUGCUGGCCCAAUCAAUCCACGUGUUUCGGAUUCAGAUUUCACCAUCGCCACUUGAGUGUGAUGGUUACCUGAAAACCUAAUGAUUAUGGCCUUUUGUAUCUUGGUUUCAAGUCUUAAGAACUCUGAACUAUAUACAUCGAGAUAUAGACGUUUGAGGAAACAAUUUGUUGGUUUUCAUAAGAAAAGGAAUCGGACAGAACUAAUCCCAAAAGCAUCGAUGUUUCUCAUCACGACACUUGACUAGAUUGUUACGUUACUUUCUACACCUAAAACUGAUCUUCAAUGAUCUAAUUACUUCAUUAGGAUAGGAUAAUAAUGGUUUGUGUUAGUUUGGUAGUUGUGUUAGGUUUAAACAUGUAUAAAGCAUGGUUCAGAAAAGAUGAUAGAUAUUCUGUUUUAUAUAACUGAUAUUUAUAUUUCAUUUAUAAGAAAAAAUAAUUUAGCAUCAAUCAAUCGUUCACAAACAUCUACAUGUGCAUUCCCUAUUUGAUUUUAACAUGAGUGCAUUGACUUCUUUUUCCUUCUCUUUUUUUUUUUUUGUCAUCUUUUUUUUUUCCUUCUCAUUUCCCAUCAAAGAUUUUCAUUCCGUAUAUUAAGAUGAAAUUAAUAUGAAAAUUAAGAAAAUGUCGAUAAUGUUAUGCAUAUAUAUAUAUAUAUAUAGUAUAUGUUUUUUGGACGAUUUUACAUUUCAUUUGUUUAGUACUAGAUAUACGAUUUUCCGUAAUUUAUAUAAAACCAUAAAAAUGAUAAAUUACCAACAAUUAAUUGAACUUGCAGUGGAUAUUAGCCGAAAUUUUCCCUAAUUAACUACCACAAUAUACCUACUUUAAAAACCACAAUUUCCAUUAGAUUUAUUUUUCUGUAAAAUAAUAAUAAACUCCAUUAGAUUUUAUAAUCUUUAUGAUAUCACUAAAAAAAUACUUUAAUCAUAAUUUACCUUUUUACAGCAAAAACACUGCCUAAUUGGUGGUCUCAUAUCUCCAACUAUAUUUUUUUUGCUAGAUAUGUUUCCCUAAUUAUUCUUUUACUGUAUUUAAGACAUUCACUUUCUUGUUUUGUCUGGUAACUUUGGUAAAUGAUUUACUGUUUUGAUAACUACUACUAAUCAUAAAAGUGGUACUAAAACCAUUAACAAAAACGAUACUUUCAGUUUUUUAACAAAAUUAAAUUCAACAGUAGAUAUAUUUAUAUCUCAUAUAUUAAACUAGCAAAAGGAAAAGUUAUUAGCACAUAUAUAUACCGGGUGAUUUACUUACAUAAAUAAGUCUUCCGGUCCGUUUUUGGAUACUAUCUACUGAGAUAUUUUUACGAUGUACCGGUUGUGUUAACCGAGUCUUUGCGUAAUUGAAACAUUUUUAACAAAGAAAAGUAGAAAAAAAAAAUCAUUAGCAUUGGAGAAGAGAGAGAGGCGAGAGAGAGAGGGAGAGCAGCAAAAGAAGCAAUCGUGAGAGACUCUCGAGUCUUCCUGAGUCACUCCUCUCCUCUCACACCUCCGCGGCGGCGAAUUGGUACAGAGACAGUGAGCUCACAACGAACGUCCUUAUUCAUCUUCCUUCGAUUACCUUGUUUAGGGUUCUGGAUUCUUCUUCACAAUGGUACGCGCUUUCUCCUUCAUCCUUUUUUUGUUUUGUUUUGUUUUGUUCUGCUUUGGGGUUUACGGAUCCUCUUAUAGCGUCUGUGUGCCUUUUUUGGCUUUUCGGAGUUUCAUUUCAAGCCGAGUAGAAACGAACAAGGCUCCUUAAUUUUUCGAUUUCAGUGAUAAUUGACAUCUCUGUGGGUGUGUAAUCGUAUGAUCCCUUUUGUUUCUGCAGCAUAAGUUGAAUAGAAACAACCGUGACAAACUUCAGCAGUUCGUGGCUAUCACAGGAGCUAGGUAACUGGAUCUCUCCCUCAGAAGCAAGGCUUAUCGCUAGUUUCACUGUAGAUUUAUUGUUACAUAAGGCCAAAAACAAGGAACUACCUCUGUAGCGUGAUAGCAAACACAUUUGCAACAUUUCUGGGUUUGGCUAUAUAUCUCAAAUUGUGUUUUGGUUUUGACAUGUUGAUUUAUUUGGGCAGUGAGAAGAGUGCUCUUCAGGCUCUCAAAGCCAGUGACUGGCACCUUGAAGCAGCGUUUGAUGUGUUUUACAGCCAGCCUCACCCAAGAAGCAAUUCUGCUGAUGUAAGACGCUUGGAGGAGCUCUACAAUAGAUAUAAAGGCAAGCUACUUGUUGUUCUCUGAGUUGAUCAAACCAAUGUUUGAUAUCAUUUCUGUACCGUUUGCAUUAUAGAUGUUAUGUUACAUUUUGCAGACCAGUAUUCUGAUAUGAUUCUGGCGGAGGGUAUCUCGAAUCUCUGUAAUGAUCUUGAGGUAUAUUUGUCUUCUUGAAUAAAUUCUUAAGAAUGAUGUGGUUUCUCUUACAUAGUAUGAAUUAAAUCUGUCUUGAAAUCAAUCUGCAGGUGGAACCACAAGACAUAGUCACGGUAUGCUUAUUUUGAAACAUUUUUCCUACCACUUGCUUGCGUGUAUCUGGUUUUUAGAUUUGCCUUAGGGAACCAAAAAAUCACCCAGUAUGAGUCAAGUAUGUUGUAAGAGAUAGACAAAAUUUGAGUUAGAUGAGAAUUUCCAAUUUCUAUGGAUAGAGGAACAGAAUGAAAGUGGGUUUUAACUCACUGGUUGCUCUGUGCUUUCUUGUAAGUCUUCUGGAUAUUUACUGAAAUGAGUACUUACUCCAAUUCCAGUUGGUUCUUUCGUGGCAUAUGAACGCUGCCACAGCGUGUGAAUUUUCCAAGCAAGAGUUCAUCACUGGACUACAGGCGUUAGGGUGAGUGAACUAGCCUUGAUACUUUUCGAUUUGUGUAUCAUUUUGACCUCGUAAGGGCCUUUUUUUUUGGUGCUAAAACCCAAUUUUCUGAUGGCAGUGUAGAUUCCAUCGCGAAGUUGCGUGAAAAGCUGCCAUUUAUGCGUUCUGAGCUUAAAGAUGAACGUAAGGAGAAAAUUGAGUGGCCAUUCCUUAUCUGGUUCACAAUUUGAUUGAUGGAAAGUCCUAUGUUAACUAACAUAUGUGUAAUGUUCUCUUGUGCAUUGUGCAUCUAUCUUGUUCAGAAAAGUUCCAUGAUAUAUACAACUUUGCGUUUGGGUGGGCGAAAGAGAAGGUAAAAAACUUGAUUUGAGGUAGUAGUUGCUUUUAGGAGAUGUUUUUUUUUUUCUGAGUUAUUGAUAAAUAUUUUAAUGGUAAAAUGUUUCAGGGGCAAAAAUCUCUUGCUCUAGACACAGCGAUCGGGAUGUGGCAGUUGCUCUUUGCAGAAAGAGAGUGGCCGUUGGUAACUCACUGGUGUGAUUUCUUGCAGGUAAACAUGAGUAUAAUAUAUCCAUCAAGGCAUGUUCUAUCUUAUUUGUUGCUUCUGAUACAAUUUUGUUUCCCAAAAAUCAGGAUCGUCAUAACAAGGCCAUAUCUAAGGACACAUGGGCACAGCUCCUGGAAUUUUCAAGGGUAAGAAAAAAACUAGACACAGUUGUUAUUGAGUAGCGUUGAUAUAUGGAUUGAGAACAAGUUUUUGUGAUGCAGAUGGUCGACCCUGUGCUGUCGAAUUAUGAUGCAGAAGGAGCAUGGCCUUACCUCAUUGAUGAAUUCGUUGAGUACCUGUAUGACAAGAACGUCGUCGAGAAGUGACCAGCCAACUGGGAGAAGUAAUUUGUUACUAUGUUCCUUUCGUCUCAUUAUUUUAAUAGACUUUACUUAUCUUACAGAUUUCUAUUGUGUUUCUGGUCAGAAUCUUGAAAUUGAUUAUUAAAUAAGUCAGCUUUUCAACUUUUGAGACUUGUCUAGUUUUUUAGUAUAAUGAAACUAAAAUUGCCCCUCCCUCUAUCUGUUGUCUACCAAUAAUCAUUACACGAACAAACUCCAUCCUUAAAAUGAUGGAACCGAUUUGUGUCUCUCACGACAAUCUCUCUGCCUACAAGCUUUGAGAUAAGCUUUGUAGCAGCGUGACAGUUCACACACGCUCUUAGAUUCUUUGUGAUCCGCAGUGUUGUCCCUUGGGGUGUACUUAUAAGCCCAUAUGCGAUCGCUAUCCUCUCACUGUGGUUACACAGCGUCUCUUCAGCUUCUUCAUCGUUGAGAUCGUGCAAUGAAGAAUCCUUGUAUGCCACAAAUCCACCUUCCUUUAGUCUACUCUCUAUCCACUCUACUUGUCUCUCUAUAUCUCUGUAUCUUGGAUGUGAUUUAUCACCCACUCGAAAAGCCUCCAACCUUCCCCUCACUUCCACCCAGCUGCAUCCUACGUCUUUGCUCAAUCCUUUCUCCUUCAUUCUCACCCGCACCUCUGCAACACGGUCCCACAAACGAGCUGCAGCAUAUAGAUUUGAGAGCUGCACGUAGUGGCCUGUGUUGGAUGGAUCUAUAGAAAAAAGCUGUUGAGCUGCAUAUUCUCCCAGUUCCACAUGGCGAUGCUUCUUGCACGCGCUUAGGAGUGCUCCCCAAACUGUUACACCGGGCUGGAUCGGCAUGCAUUUGAUCACUUCAUAAGCUUGAUCCAUAUGACCAGCACGCCCAAGAAGAUCAAUUACGCAUGCAUAGUGUUGCUGUUGCGGAUUUAUUUUGUGAUCUGCCAUCCGAUUGAAGAACCACCAGCCUUCUCUUACCAAGCCUGAAUGGUUACAGGCCAUGAGGAGCCCCAGAAAAGUAACGUCAUUGGGAUGCACUCCAUCAUGUUCCAUUGUACGGUACAGACUGAUUGCUUCUCUUGCCCGUCCGUGCAAUCCAUAACCAACAAUCAUAGCACUCCACACGACAACAUCCCUGUCAAGAGUUCGGUCAAAAACCGAUCUUGCGCACUCUACACUUCCGCAUUUAGCAAACAUAUCAAUUAGGGCGCUGCUAAUGAAAACAUCAUCCCUGUAGUCGCUCCUGCCUACAUAUUUCUCCAUCCAGCAGGCCUGCUCAAGACAACCAACUUGAGAGCAAGCCGAAAUGGCAGAUGUUAUAGAAAUGGUGUCGGGUCUGACAUCUUUAUCGAUCAUCUUAUGAAACAUAUCAAUAGCAUCCUUGGCAUAACCGUUUUUCGCGUAGCCAGAAAUCAUGGCGUUCCACAAAAUAAGGUUGGGAGACUUCAUCUUAUCAAACAGAAUCUUGGCAGUUGCGACUUGGCCACAUUUUGCAUACAUGGUGUUGAGAGAGAUGAGCAAGUCGGGCUCUGUUUCAAGACCCAUCUUCACAACAGAAGCAUGAAUGGAUCUCCCUUGCUCCAAAUCCUGUAAGCAUGUGAAAGCAUUGAGAACACUAACGAGAGCUACCCAGUCGGGCUUCACACCCAUCUUCCUCAUCUGACUGAAAAUCUCGAGAGCUUCCACAGGCUCACCAUUCUGAGCAUAAGCUGAAAUGAUAGCCGUCCAUGAGACAAUCGUUCUCUCUGGCAAUGGCAGUCCUUCAAACACUGUUCUCGCGCAUCCCAGACGCCUACAUUUUGCAUACAAGGCAAUAAGACCGUUCUGAACAAACACAUCAGCUUCAAAUCCAAGCCUGAACACCUGAGAGUGAACGAGCCGACCCAUGGGAAGGUGAGACAAACCGCUGCAAGCUUUAAGAAGAUGAGGAAAAGUGAAAGAAUCAGGAGAAACGCGAGCGAGUUGCAUCUUGGAGUACAUGAGAAGAGCAUCUUGGAAGUAACUAUUUCUUGAAUAACCCCUGAUGAUGGCAUUCCAAGGAAAUAUUUGAGGGCGAGGUAAAUCGUCGAACACCUGACGUGCAAAAGUAACGUCUCCAAAGGAAGAGCUGGCUUGAAUGAGCUUGGUGAUCAAGAAGCCACUGAAAUGCAAACCCAGAACCAGUAAACGUGCGUGGAUUUGCCUAAGCUGAGCUUUAUGAGUGGAACUAUCAAUAAGCGAGGCGUAGAAAGAAUCGGAGUGGAUUCCUGAAUUGGCUGCAACAACAAAAUAACAUACUCUCACACAUCAUGAGGUUUCGUUUUGGGAUCAAAUUGGACAGAGAAACACAACACAUUCAGUUCUUACUGUAGAGAAAAGGAGAAGCAAGAAGAGCUGCUUCGGACAUUGUUUAAUGUUGCCUCAUUUCUUUUUCGUUCUUCGUUAUUUGACUUGUGCGUUUCCUUCACAGUUUCAUCAGUCAUCACCAUAACUAUUUGAAUUCAAUUUAUUUAUGUGGAAAAUUUUGGUAACUUUUUUGUUAUGUGACUUGGACUUGGGAGGCCCAAGUUGAGCCUAUUAACUUUUAACGUCCGUGGAACGAGUUCAGGUCAUUAUCUUUUUUUUUUUUCGUUUUUUUAAAUUGAAAGAUAAUAUAUUAAUAUUUAAUGUAUAGAUAAUUAUUAAUAAGUACUAAUAUUGGGGAUUAAAAACAAUGUUAAGGAAAGUAAAUCAUACGAAAAUUGUUAAUAAAUUUUUAUCAAUUAAAGAAAACACACUAAAAAUAAGGCUCAAAAUCGAAUCUACAUAAAUAAGAUCCCACUGUUAUCCUUCAAUUCUUAUAAGAUCUUGCCAUUAGGGUUUUUACUUUUUAUUUUCUUUCCUGAUCCUUUAUGACAUUUGUUUAUCAGCACUCCAUUAUAAAUAUUUAGGAGAGGGUUAAGAACAUAUAUCACUAGAGAAAAGCAAAAUCAUGACUUUAUUUACUAGUAAUCUGUGUGAAGAGCACGAACAAGGCAUGAAGAAAGGUGUUGAUGUAAGCAGCAGUGACUCAGAUCAUCAUGAAGGUGAUCGAGCAGGUAUUGAUGAUGACUCUGACGAUGAUCCAGCAGGUAAAUCUAGAGUGUUACUUUCAGAAAAAUAUAGGUCAAGAUCUGCUCAUCAGUUCAUGAGACGUGCGGAGAAAGUUUGGGCACUUCCUUCUACUAGAGAGGAGGAGGAAGACGUUGAAUCCCAAAAACGUGUACUGGAGUCUAAACCGGAAUCAGAUGAAGAUAAAGUGGGGGACAUCGUUUGUUUUGGGAAGAACAGUUACUUCGUUAUUGAUAUCUUCGAGAAAGAGAUCAUGGAGUUGGGAGACAAAGUGGAUUUGAACUACGCAAGAUUCAGCAAGUUCGAAGCUGUUUGCGGAGGCGCUCCACGAGACCAUCACUUCUACAGCUACCGUUGCUGCUACUCUCGCCGCUGCAAUUGCUACAGCGGUACCGUGGAGCGGGAGUGGGGGAUUCUUGAGAGAGGAUUAGCUUCUAGGGAGAAGAAGGGAGUUAGCUUCUUUGUGACAACUUACAAAGACAGAAAAGAGCUGAUGAGGGUUGCUGUAACCGUGACAGAUUGUCAUCAGAAUCAUAGUUUGUACUUCUUUGACCUCAAGUUCCCUUCUGAGUAUCCCUAUGGAGCACCGAGUUUCUACUACCAUCCGUAUGGACUUCCUUUGAGUACUCAUGAAGCCCAAAAGCCAUUGAGAGCAAAGCUCUGCUACAACAUCUUAGAUGUGUUUCUCCACAUUCAAGACAUUGUGUUGAUGAACACCAACAAGUCAGGUCAGCAGAUGCUAGAUUUGCUGGAACGGCCGCUCGCUGGGUUUCAAGAUUUUGUACAAGGGUUUUUUAGGAAGAAGGGGCCGAUGAUUCUGCGGAACUUGAUGCAAGAGUUUGAUAUGGAAAAGGAGAGGGACAAGAAAAUGUUCUGGAAGGUGUACAUUGCGUUUGUUGACAAUAAAGCUUAUUGUGAGCAUCUUCUCAACAGUGAUCUGAAAGCAGAGCUGGAGAAAUUGAAGGAGAAAGAGUAUACGUUAAGCAGUCACUACUAUGGUUCUUCAUCUCCCUACUACUCAGCCUACAAUACAAAGCCCGAUGGUUUCAAGAAGACAUCCAAAAACCAAAGCUUUUUCAGCAAGUACUUGCCUUUCGAUUAUUAGUGUCUUUUCUUAUCUUUUUGUAAUUUGUUUUUUCAGAUUUUUAAUGUGAUUCAGUGAUUCUUUUCCGAGAAAUGAGUCUCUCACUCUCUGAUACAAAUUCAAAAGUCAAGAGUUGAAUAGGUAGAUUUAUACUUUACAGUGAAAGAAACUCUGCAAGUACACAUUGUUUGCCUCGUCAAUGAAAAGAGUUUCUAAACGGUGACUGGGAUCGCUUCAUCAAGGGCGACAACACCGGGAAGUACUUUGCCUUCCAACAGCUCCAAGCUGGCUCCACCACCAGUGGAGAUGUGACUCAUGACUCCUGCUACUCCUACUUUCUCGACAGCAGCCACUGAGUCUCCUCCUCCUAUUAUCGUUGUCACACCCUUUCCACUUAGCUCAGCUAGUUUAUUGGCUACCGCCUGCAACAACCACAACAAAAAACUUAAAUCUAGUAUUCAUCUACCAUGUGUUUAUUAUAUGCGGAGUCACUUUCUUACCUCUGUUCCAGCCGCAAACUUUUCCAUCUCGAAAACUCCCAUAGGUCCAUUCCAAAUAACUGUUUGUGUUGUGUCCAGAGCUUCAUUGAAAGUUUUAAUAGAGUCUGGACCGAUGUCCAAUCCCAUCCAUCCGUCCUCAAUGCCUGAUGCUGGCACGAUCUACAAACAUCCACAUUACAUACUUUGCUCAGAACACAAAAGCUAUAGAAAAAUUAAAUAUUUAACAUUUCUGCUUCUCACAUCUCUCUUUUAGGAUCAUCAAGCAAUAACAAACCACACGAGUUUACAUAGAGCACCAGGCUUAAACAGGAGCACAACUUACUGACUUCUCAAAAUUUCUUUUAUAAGACACACAUAUAGCUAACAUAGGGUUCCCAUAAGAAUUUAAAACUCAGCUUUUGAAGGAGCAACUCUUUUCUCUUUUUCUUUUAUAUUAAGUAGGCCAGUCAAAAGGGUUUUUGUCUAAAAACCUCAGCAGAGAAAAUUCUUACAAAAAUACAUUUCCCAUUUUUCGUUUUACUAUCAUCACCCAAGAAGUUAAAUUGCCAAGCUUUAAGCAAUGGCGAGAUAAGAGAGACAUACCUUGCUGUUUGCAUCAGGAGCAAAUUUGUCAGCAACCACAACAUCUGUUGGCAACAAAAGAGAGACUCCUUUGGCCUUAGCUUUGGCAAGGAGUUCUGUAGCCAAUUCAAGUUUGUCUUCUUCAACAAGGGAGGAACCAACUGAAAGACCUUGUGCCUUGUAGAAUGUAAAGAUCAUUCCACCACCAAGAAGAAGGAUAUCACACUUCUCCAGAAGCGAUUCAAUAACUCCAAUUUUGGACGAGACCUUGGAUCCACCCACUAUGGCUGCAAAUGGUCUCUUUGGGUUUGAAACAGCGCCAACAAGGUAGUCCAGCUCCUGUAGUUGUAGAGAGAAAUAAACAAAUAAGCCCAUGGUACCAUUUGUAGAGACGAUGCUUUGACGCAGAAUUGGCAAUCAAAGGAAAGUAGAAUCUCUAUCAAUAAAUCACCUUCUGCAGAAGGAAACCAGCAACUGAAGGCUUCAAGAACUUAGUGACUCCUUCGGUAGAAGCAUGAGCUCUGUGAGCAGUUCCGAAAGCAUCAUUAACAUAGAGGUCAGCUAAUGCAGCAAGCUUCUUGGCAAACUCAGGAUCGUUCUUUUCUUCCUCCUUGUAAAACCUGACGUUCUCAAGAAGCAAAACUCCACCUUCAGGAAGAGAAGCGACAAGGCUUUCCACUUCCGGACCGAUACAAUCAUCAGCUUUGGUGACCUGCAAAACCCACCGUAAAAAAAUGCUCUCAAGCAAAGGAAGAAGAUUUAUAAGUGAGACAAAACACGAAUUUUACCUGAAUACCAAGAAGCUCGGAGAGCCUAGGGACAAGAGGAGCCAAACUGAACUUUGGUGUGACUCCCUUUGGCCUUCCCUGAAAGAAAGAUCAAAACGCACAAAGUGUUGUAAUUUAGUUCAGGGGCGAUGGAUAAUUCGAAUGUAUAGUGUGUGGGUGUGGGAAUAUUACCAGAUGAGUGGAGAGGAUGACUUUAGCACCAUUUUCAAUCAAAUACUUGAUUGUUGGAAUAGCUGCACGGAUUCUGGUAUCAUCGGUGAUAGUCUGGUUAUCAUCGAGAGGUACAUUGAGAUCAGCUCUCACGAAAACCUUCUUCCCCUUUAAAUCAGCUGAGGUCAGAUCUCCGACGCUCUUCUUCGCCAUAGAAACCACUCCUUUGCUCCCCUUCCCCCGCACUGAUUCAACCUUGGAAGCAACGUGGAGGGAGAAACGACGGGAAUCGAGAGUGGCGGAGAAGCCAAGAGGACGCGCGGAUACAGAGGUAGAGGGAAUUGGCAAGAGAGAGGCGCGUGCACGAGUUGCGUCGGAGGAAGCUACGCCGCCGGUGGACUUAAAGAAGGAAAAGGCGCGACUUGCGGCGGUUGAAGCCAUGUGGAUCAAAGGAGAUAAAAUGGAUUAGGAGAUGAGAAACAGAGA